rnacentral:lncRNA from 1 species
UUUUGAACAACAUUCUUCGUCUGACUGUGAUGAAGUAUAUCAACAAUCUCGUCCAAAGAUGAUGUCUUGGAAAGAGGAUGCUGAUUGCUGCUCAUGGGAUGGAGUAACAUGUGAUACGGUGGCUGGUCACGUGAUUGGCCUCGACCUUAGCUGUAGUUGGCUUCACGGCAAUAUCCCUUCCAAUAGUAGCCUUUUCUUUCUUCCUCACAUACGAAAGCUCAACUUGGCUUUCAAUGAUUUUAAUUACUCCGAGAUUUCUUCUGGUUUUAGUCAACUUCGGAGCUUGACACUCCUUAACCUCUCUUCCAGCAAUUUCAUGGGGUCAAUUCCUGCAUCAAUAGGUAAUAUCACCCAACUUUCUUAUUUGGAUCUUUCAUAUAAUAAUUUUAAUGGUCACAUACCAUCUUCCUUUUCAAAUCUUGAGCAGCUUCAUUAUUUAAUUCUGAGGAGCAAUUUUUUCGUUGGUAAAAUUCCUGAUAUUUUUACCAAUCUAACCCAACUUUCUUACUUAGAUUUCAGUAGUAACCAACUUUCUGGCUCAAUUCCGAGCUCAGUCUAUGAGCUUGAGAAUUUGAUUCUUCUCAGACUUUCUUCAAACAGAUUAAGCGGCACCGCUGAGCUGUACGAUUUUGCAAAGCUCAAAAAUCUUAAAUGGCUAUUUGUUUCUAAUAAUAGAUUAUCAUUGAGCACCAAAUUAAAAGUCAACUCUUCCUUUCCCAAUCUUUUUGGGUUGGGUUUAUCUGCUUGCAAUGUAAGUGAAUUUCCGGACAUCUUAAGAACCCUGCAUCAAUUGCAGUGGUUGAACCUUUCUAAAAACCGAAUUCAUGGUAGGAUUCCUAGUUGGAUGUGGGACUUAGGAAUAGCUACUUUGUAUUACCUAGAUCUUUCCAACAACUUCCUGACAAACAUUGAAUAUUUUCCACCGACAAAUAUGACCCAACUUAACUUUGAUUCGAACCUAACCCACAAGGUCUUGGAUAUGAGAAUGAACAACUUCAAUGGAAAAAUCCCUCGAAAGUUUGUAAAAAGUUGUAAUUUGACGAGUCUUAACCUUAAUGGAAAUCGGCUGGAAGGACCACUGCCACCAUCUUUGGUGAAUUGUCAUCACUUGGAAGUUUUAAAUGUUGGGAAUAAUCAAAUCAAUGAUAACUUCCCCAAUUGGUUAGAAAUUCUUCCAGAAUUGCAAGUUCUUAUCUUGCGUUCCAAUAGAUUUUGGGGUCCCAUUGGUGAGAACACAACAAUAGUUCCAUUCCCUAGCUUAAGAAUAAUUGAUUUGUCUCACAAUGAAUUCACCGGAGUUUUGCUAACAGGAUAUCUUGAUAAUUUUAAAGCCAUGAUGCAUGGGAAUAAUAUUAGUGUUGAAGUGGAUUAUAUGACACCUUUGAAUUCUUCUAAUUACUAUGAAUCAAUAAUUUUGACUAUCAAAGGCAUUGACAUCAAAAUGGAGAGAAUUCUAACCAUUUUUAUGACAAUUGAUUUGUCGAGUAAUAAAUUUCAAGGAGGAAUUCCAGAAGUGGUGGGAAAGCUCAAUUUACUCAAAGGUCUCAACAUUUCUCACAACAACCUGACAGGUGAUAUUCCAUCAUCGUUGAGAAAUUUGACCGAGGUCGAAUCUCUAGACUUGUCUUCAAACAUGCUUGUUGGGCAUAUUCCAACGCAAUUGACGAGCCUGAAAUAUCUUUCAGUGCUAAAUCUUUCGUACAACCAGUUUGAGGGACCUAUACCUCGAGGAUCCCAAUUCAAUACAUUUCCAAAUGAUUCAUAUGUUGGUAACUCAGGGUUGUGUGGAUUCCCAUUGUUAGAAAGCUGCAACAUUGAUGAGGCGCCAGAACCAGUAGGGUCAACAAGAUUUGAUGAAGAAGAAGAUGCCUCAAGUUGGUUUGAUUGGAAGUUUGCUAAGAUGGGUUAUGGAUCUGGAUUGGUGAUUGGCUUGUCCGUCGGAUACAUGGUAUUUGGGACUGGAAAGCCACGAUGGCUUGUAAGGAUGAUUGAAAAGUAUCAAUCUAACAAGGUCAGGAUAAGAGUGAGCAGUCUUGGUAUCGCAAGAAGAAAUUAGUAAGUGCAUCACUUUCUCAUAUUAGUUUAAGUAGGUUACAUGCUGAUAUUUUCCAUCAUCUCAACUAAUAUUUUAACCAUAUAUUAAUAAUCUGAUGUGUUUUUUGUUCAGGAAUUUUACACUCAUGGAAUGGAAUUAAGCUGUCGAAGUCAAAUAAUCACCCUCCAGGUACAGAAAUUAAUUUUCUCGCUUUUAUUUCCAAUUCCUAAUAAUAUACUAAGACUUAAUCUUUUGUUGGAAAGCUUGAUCAAAAUUCUGAGGGAAAAAAUCAUUUGAUUAAAUAAUGUUGCUGUAAGAAAUGGGGUUGGGGCAGCUUGAUUUGGUGUAUCUUGCCUUCGGUAGGCAUGUUUGAUUAUCUGCCAGCAUUUAGAAGAUUUUGAUAUUGGGAAUAAUCAAAUUAAUAAUAACUUUUCCCACUGGUUAGAUGUUCUUCCUAAAUUGCAAGUUCUUAUAUUAUGAUCUAACUGAAUUUGGGGUCCCAUUAGUGAUACCAAAAUAAGAGUUCUCUUCCUAAGUAUUGAAUAAUUGAUCUCUUUAACAAUGAACUCACUGAUGUUUUACCAACAUGGUUUCUGGAAAGCUUUAAAGCCAUGAUUCAUGGAGAUAAUAAUACUAUUGAUAAUGAAGUAGAAAAUAUAAUUAUCAAUUCAAAAAGUUUCUUCAACCACGAAUCAUUAAUUUUUGCUAUGAAAGGAAUUGACAUACAAAUGGAGAGGAUUCUAGCCAUUUUCAUGACAAUUGAUUUGUUAGCAAUCAGUUUCAAGGAGGAAUUAUAGGAGUGGUGGGAAUGUUUAAUCCACUCAAAUGUCUCAACAUUUCUCGUCAAUAACCUCACAGGCGAUAUUCCAUCAUCAUUUGGAAAUUUGACAAAGCUUGAUCUUUAAACCUCUCCCCAAACAAGCUUGUUAGGCUGAUUCCAAUGUAAUUGGUGAGUUCAAAUACUAUUUUGGUGCUAAAUCUUUCAUACAUUUUUAAAUGAUUCUUGUGCUAGGAACCUGGGGUAGUGUGGAUUCCCAUUGUCAAUUGCUUGCAACGAUGAUGAGGCACCAUAACUGACAGUACCAAAUUCGAGCUGGUUUGAUUGGAAGUUUACCAAGAUGGAUUACACAUCUAGGUUGGGGAUGACUUGUCCAUUGGAUAUAUGGUAUUUAUAAAUGGAAGGCCAAGAUGGUUUGUGUGGAUGAUCAAAAGAAGUAAUCUAAUAUGGUGAGAAGGGUGAUAAGACAAUGUAGAACAAGAAGAAGAAAUUAGUAAAAUUAGUAAGUUCACAUCUAGCUCAGAUGAGUAAUUAUCAAGUGUUCUUUUGGAUUUGUAAUCUUAUUAUUAUUCUUUCCCUAGAUAACAUCAUAGCAUAUUGAUAUUUUUCAAAAUUUUUAAGGAAAAGAAAUGAUUUGAAAUAGGUUGAGACUAUUUACACUCACCAUAAUACUCAAUAAACCCAUUUACUAAUCAAGUCAUCGUCUAAAUUUAAAAAUUUAUCUUUCAUUCAAUAAACCCACCUUUAUAACCAUUAUACCCUUAUUUAAAUCUCUUUCUCUUCUCUUUCUUUUUUGCGACUUCUAUAUCUCUACUUCCUCUUAGUAUUCUAUUUUUGUUUUAUAACCAAAUCAUCCACUGUUCUUGUCUUGUUGCAGUGGCUCUUUUUCAUUUUUUUUUCUCCUUGACUGAAACUCUCAAAGUUCUAUCAUGAAACACUAAAAAAAGGAUAAAGUAUAAAGAUCCUUGAUCUCAAUUAAAAGACAAUUUUUUUCACACCAAAUUGCAAGGAAAUAUAAUGUAUGUCAAAGUAAAUAAGUCUUUUAUUUAUAAGCUAUAGUUUAGUAAUGUUAAAGAGCAACAAUAAUCUUUUAUAUAUAUUGAAAAAUAAAUGCAGAUAUAAAAACUUUAGAGAGAGAAAUUAAAGACGAUUAAGUUGCAAUAAUAUUUAGCUAUAAUGAUUAUUAUAAUAAUUUAAUUUAAGGAUAUUUGUGUAAUAAAUUAUCUUUUUAGAAUUGGAUUAAUGAAUAGUUUGGUGAAUUCAAAUAACUUCGCUCUUUGAAAUAAUGUUAUAUUCUUGCAAGUCAUGAUGUAUCUCGUGUAGCUUGGGCCGUUUAUUUUGGGUUUGGGUGUAGAUCAAUGAGAGGUUGUGAAUUUUCCCUAUUGAAAUUAACAUAUACUACUUACCUUCUAUGAUUUUCAUAAUAAUCAAUAACUCUUAUGGCAACAUAAGUUUACAGUAUUAUCCUCAUUUUCUAAUACCUUUUUAUUCAUAUUUAUUAUAAAUUAAAUAAAUUAUAUAAAUGAAAAUUAAAAUAAAAAAUUUAAGUAUUGAAAAUAAGCAAUAUAUAUUUUGAUGCGAAUAAAAAAUUAAUAAUAAGAUUUUUUUUGUACUUUUUAUUUUUUUAAACUCUACCCAUUUAGAAUUUUUAGAGAUAUCUCCGAACUCCCCCAAAUAAGAAUUUUUGGGUAUAAAGGUGGGUUCGGGGAUCAUAAUCCCUGACCUCAAUUUGCCCAUUAUCAUCCCCGCCUAGUAUGAAACAGGACAUGAUUUGUUUCAAAUAAUUCAGCCCUAUACAGUGCCCAUAAACAAAUGCACCUUUGUGCUUAGAAAUACAUACAGAAUGCCAAGAUAAUUAAAUGUUCCUAACCGUCUUUAGGAAAAAAAGAAAAUGUAAUGACUUCGGUAACGGAAAUAAUACAGACAAUGCUAAUUUGAGCACAGCUUCUUAUAUACGUCUGCGUUUGAACUGGUUUGUGGAAAAACUGUGAAAAGGGAGUGGUUCUACAUUCACCACGAUGCCUUCCUAGGACUCACCAUUCCCCGCCGAACACGUGGCCUAGAUUGCCCUCUUCAUUAGUUGCAUGAAAGGAUCCUACUUUGAACUCUUAACUUUCUUAUCCUGCCCAUGUGGCCACGAGAUUCACAUAAUUAAUUAGAUUAUGAAUUUUACAAAUUAGCGACAAAGACACUCACCAAACCGGCCAGAUUCCAUAUAGAGUUCCAAGCUCCGUAACAAGAUCACUUCGUGCUUUAAAAUUAUUACAUAAUUAAUUGGAUUCAAUCCUUUCCAUUCACUGGAUAAAUGGGUUACUUAACACAGCCUUGUCCAGUUUUGAUCUGCCUCCAGUUAUUGCUCUUGUAUUUUCAGUGUUGUUCUGCGAAGCUUUGCUCUCAUGAUCAAAGCUCUGCGUUACUCCAAUUUAAGCAACUCUUUUCUUUUGAACAACAUUCUUCGUAUGAUUGUGAUGAAGUAUAUCAACAAUCUUGUCCAAAGAUGAUGUCUUGGAAAGAGGAUGCUGAUUGCUGCUCAUGGGAUGGAGUAACAUGUGAUACGGUGGCUGGUCACGUGAUUGGCCUCGACCUUAGCUGUAGUUGGCUUCACGGCAAUAUCCCUUCCAAUAGUAGCCUUUUCUUUCUUCCUCACAUACGAAAGCUCAACUUGGCUUUCAAUGAUUUUAAUUACUCCGAGAUUUCUUCUGGUUUUAGUCAACUUCGGAGCUUGACACUCCUUAACCUCUCUUCCAGCAAUUUCAUGGGGUCAAUUCCUGCAUCAAUAGGUAAUAUCACCCAACUUUCUUAUUUGGAUCUUUCAUAUAAUAAUUUUAAUGGUCACAUACCAUCUUCCUUUUCAAAUCUUGAGCAGCUUCAUUAUUUAAUUCUGAGGAGCAAUUUUUUUCGUUGGUAAAAUGUUGAAAAGUUAAAUAUUUAUUUGUUAAUUUAAAAAAAGUAAAGUUGGUGGGUUUGUAAAUUUCAAAAGAUAAAGUUAGGUUUUGAAAAGUUUGUACAUGCAAUUGGGUGAUGUUGAAAAUUGAAUAUAGCAACAAAUUACAUAUGUAAUUGUUGACAAAUAUGGAUGACUUUAAUGCAUGUAAUGCAAGAUCCAACUCAACGUUUUGACCAAUUGAACCCAAUUUGGUGCAAAAUGCUUUUCUAUCAAUUUUCAAUAUCACCGAAUUGCAUGUACAAGCUUUUCAAAACCUUUUUCAUGCUUUUAAAAUCUAACUUUGUCUUUUGAAAUUAGCAAGCCGACCAACUUUGCUUUUUAAAAAUUGGCAAGUCAUUAUUUGACUUUUCAACAAUUCUCCACCUCGACGAAGAUUUAAUAAAUGUGAGCCGAUUAUCAACAAAUUAUCUUCCAAUCUUUGCCUUUUCCGACUGCUUUCAACUUGAUGUUAAAACUACAUUUUUACAUGAUGAUUUGGAAGAGGAAAUUUACAUGACUCAGCUAGAUGGAUUCAAGGUUGCUGAAAAAGAAAAUUGGGUUUGCAAAUUGACAAAGUCGCUUUAUGGAUUGAACAAUUUUCGAGACAGUGGUAUAAACGAUUUGAUCGAUUUAUGAAAGGACAAAGGUACACAAGAAAUAAAUUUGAUCAUUGUGUGUAUUUUCGCAAGCUACAAGAAGAAUCUUUCAUUUAUUUGCUGUUGCAUGUCGAUGAUAUGGAAAUAGCAUCGAAGAGCAAAGAUGAGAUUGAGAAGUUGAAAACUCAACUCAAUCAAGAAUUUGAGAUGAAAGAUCUAGGUGAAGCUAAGAAGAUUCUUGGCAUGGAGAUAUGCAGAAAUAGAACUUGUGGCAAAGUAAGCUUGUCUCAAAAGUAAUAUUUGAAGAAGGUACUACAACAGUUUGACAUGGUAGAGCAGACAAAAUCUGUGAGUACCCCGUUGGCUUCUUAUUUCAAGCUUUCUGCACAACUUUCUCCUUCAACAGAUGCAUAACGAGAAUACAUGUUACAAGUUCCGUAUUCAAAUACACUAGGUAGCUUGAUGUAUGCAAUGGUGUGUAAAAAGCCUGACAUUUCACAUUUAGUUGGUAUAGUGAGCAUGUAUAUGCAUAAUCCUGGUAAAGGGCGUUGGCAAGCUGUGAAAUGGAUUCUACGGUGCAUUCAAAAGACCAUGGAUGUUGGUUUGUUGUUUGAGCAAGAUGAUACACUUGGUCAAAGUGUGAAUGGGUACGUCGAUUCUGAUUAUAUUGGUGAUUUGGACAAACGACGGUCAAUCACCGGAUAUGUAUUUAACUUUGCUGGAGGGCCAAUCAAUUGGAAGUCUACACUACAGUCUACAGUUGUACUGUCGACCACAGAGGCCGAGUACAUGGCAAUUACAAAGGCUGUUAAAGAAGCUAUUUGGUUACAAGGCUUGCUUGAAAAUUUGGGAUUAGUAUAGGAGCACAUUAAUGUAUAUUGCGACAGUCAAAGUGCUAUUCACUUAACAAAGAACCAAGUUUAUCAUGCAUGUACGAAGCAUAUUGAUGUACGAUUUCACUUUGUGCGGGAAAUUGUUGAUGAUGGGAAGAUUCUUCUUCAGAAAAUUAAGACUGCAGAUAAUCUCGCAGAUAUAUUGAUAAAGGUAGUGACGACGAUCAAGUUUGAGCAUUGUCUAAACUUGAUCAAUAUCCUGCAAGUUUGAAAGCAGUCGGGGAAGGUAGAGAUUGGAGGAUGAUUUGUUGAUAAUCGGCUCAGAUUUACUAAAUCUUCGCCGAAGUGGAGAAUUGUUAAAAAGUCAAAUAAUGGCUUGCCACUUUCAAAAAAGCAAAGUUGGUCGGCUUGCCAAUUUCAAAAGACAAAGUUAGGUUUUGAAAGCAUGAAAAAAGUUUUGAAAAUCUUGUACAUACAAUUUGGUGAUGUUGAAAAUUGACUAUGGCAACAAAUUACACAUGUAAUUAUUGACAAAUAUGCAUGACUUUAAUGCAUGCAAUGCAAGAUCCAGUUCAACGUUUUGACCAAUUGAACCAAACUUGGUGCAGAAUGCUCUCUAUAAAUAGAGAAGCAAUUUGCAAUUGUAAGCAUCCCAAUUUGAGAGAAGUAGAGAGCAAUUGCAAGUGAGCUCUUUGAGAGAUUUGAGAGAGAGUCAACUUAAGUGUUCUAGUGAGGUUCUAUUUGCGUGUAUUGGGGUUGUGGGUUUUGUGAGCUUUUCUCACUUUUAUAAAUUCUCAUUUGUUAGUAAAAUUAUCUUCUAGUUUUUGUCCGUGGACGUAGGCAUUACGCCGAACCACGUAAAUUAUUGUGUCCUAUUUUCUUUGCAUUUAUUUAUUACCACAUGCAUAUUUCUCCAGAAGUCGCAGUAUUAGUAAUUGCUCAACCUCGCGCUUUCGCAACAUAAAAUUCCUGAUAUUUUUACCAAUCUAACCCAACUUUCUUACUUAGAUUUCAGUAGUAACCAACUUUCUGGCUCAAUUCCGAGUUCAGUCUAUGAGCUUGAGAAUUUGAUUCUUCUCAGACUUCCUUCAAACAGAUUAAGCGGCACCACUGAACUGUACGAUUUUGCAAAGCUCAAAAAUCUUAAAUGGCUAUUUGUUUCUAAUAAUAGAUUAUCAUUGAGCACCAAAUUAAAAGUCAACUCUUCCUUUCCCAAUCUUUUUGGGUUGGGUUUAUCUGCUUGCAAUAUAAGUGAAUUUCCGGACAUCUUGAGAACCCUGCAUCAAUUGCAGUGGUUUAACCUUUCUAAAAACCGAAUUCAUGGUAGGAUUUCUAGUUGGAUGUGGGACUUAGGAAUAACUGCUUUGUAUUACCUAGAUCUUUCCAACAACUUCCUGACAAACAUUGAAUAUUUUCCACCAACAAAUAUGACCCAACUUAACUUUGAUUCGAACCUAACACACAAGGUCUUGGAUAUGAGAAUGAACAACUUCAAUGGAAAAAUCUCUCAAAAGUUUGUAAACAGUUGUAAUUUGACAAAUCUUAACCUUAAUGGAAAUCGGCUGGAAGGACCACUGCCACUAUCUUUGGUGAAUUGUCAUCACUUGGAAGUUUUAGAUGUUGGGAAUAAUCAAAUUAAUGAUAACUUCCCCAAUUGGUUAGAAAUUCUUCCAGAAUUACAAGUUCUUAUCUUGCGUUCCAAUAGAUUUUGGGGUCCCAUUGGUGACAACACAACAAUAGUUCCAUUCCCUAGGUUCAGAAUAAUUGAUUUGUCUCACAAUGAAUUCACCGGAGUUUUACCAACAGGAUAUCUUGAUAAUUUUAAAGCCAUGAUGCAUGGGAAUAAUAAUAGUGUUGAAGUGGAUUAUAUGACACCUUUGAAUUCUUCUAAUUACUAUGAAUCAAUAAUUUUGACUAUCAAAGGCAUUGACAUCCAAAUAGAGAGAAUUCUAACCAUUUUUAUGACAAUUGAUUUGUCGAGUAAUAAAUUUCAAGGAGGAAUUCCAGAAGUGGUGGGAAAGCUCAAUUUACUUAAAGGUCUCAACAACAUUUCUCACAACAACCUUACAGGUGAUAUUCCAUCAUUGUUGAGAAAUUUGACCGAGGUCGAAUCUCUAGACUUGUCUUCAAACAUGCUUGUUGGGCAUAUUCCAACGCAAUUGACGAGUCUGAAAUAUCUUUCAGUGCUAAAUCUUUCGUACAACCAGUUUGAGGGACCUAUACCUCAAGGAUCCCAAUUCAAUACAUUUCGAAACGAUUCCUAUGUUGGUAACUCAGGGUUGUGUGGAUUCCCAUUGUUAGAAAGCUGCAACAUUGAUGAGGCGCCAGAACCAGUAGGGUCAACAAGAUUCGGUGAAGAAGAAAAUGCUUCAAGUUGGUUUGAUUGGAAGUUUGCUAAGAUGGGUUAUGGAUCUGGAUUGGUGAUUGGCUUGUCCAUCGGAUACAUAGUAUUUGGGACUGGAAAGCCACGAUGGCUUGUAAGGAUGAUUGAAAAGAAUUAAUCUAACAAGGUCAGGAUAAGAGUGAGCUGUCUUGGUAUCGCAAGAAAAAAUUAGUAAGUGCAUCACUUUCUCAUAUUAGUUUAAGUAGGUUGCAUGCUGAUAUUUUCCAUCAUCUCAACUAAUAUUUUAACCAUAUAUUAAUAAUCUGAUGUGUUUUUUCUUCAGGAAUUUUACACUUAUGGAAUGGAAUUAAGCUGUCGAAGUCAAAUAAUCACCCUCCAGGUACAGAAAUUAAUUUCCAAUUCCUAAUAAUAUACUACGACUUAAUUCUUUUGUUGGUAAGCUUGAUCAAAAUUCUGAGGGAAAAAAUCAUUUGAACAAAUAAUGUUGAUGUAGGAAAUGGGGUUGGGGCAGCUUGAUUUGGUGUAUCUUGCCUUCGGUAGGCAUGUUGUGAUUUGGGCGUUUUGAAGAAGCUGAAGCUUGCGACGAGCAGAAAAAUAUUCACAGCCUUUAGCUACGAUGCAUGCGAUUUUUGCCGAAUUUCAUUGUUUGAGCUUUCAUGAGUGGAUACUCCCUUUUCCACGACUUAUACAACUUCUAAUAUUUUUAUUUUCUUAUUUCUAAUAGAAAUUCAUGUGCUACUUCAAUUUUUUAUCAAUAAAUUCCCAAAUCCCUCCAAAUUAAUUACAUUGUUUUCGUGACUCAUAAUCCAAUAAAAUUGCUCUUGAAUCCUUGUACUAAUUGAAUGGUUAGUUGUGCAUAAAAUGCAUGAACAAAGGAGCCACUUAAAUUUAUAAAAUAUAUUCAACGACAAACGAAUAUAGAGAUGUCUGGUAUUCACAGUUUCAUCAAACAGUACUAAAAUGGGCUAAUCUGGAAACUUGAUUUUUAAAUGAAAUAUAAAAUAAAAUAGCGGUUGAACAUGAUCACCCCUACUGUAUAGGCUAUAGCUCAGAAUUCUGUAGAUUAAUUGGACCGGACUAUCACAGUUCCGGCCUAAUGGUCCUUUUAAAAACGGCCCAGGCCGUGCCACGUCAACAUCAAAAGAUCGUCCACGUCAGCACUCAAGAUUAUAAUCUUAUAAAAAAAGGCUGUGGAAAUUCAUCGUAUACUUGGAUUUUGUUUUCACUGUUCAAAGAUCUUUUGUUUCCCCUGUAUAUUGAGAUUUUGGCAUCAAUAUAAUUAAUUAGAUUGUUUUAACUCAUUUCAAUUAUACCUAUACUAUAUAUUUCGCUAGUUUGCAUAAUAUUGUCAUGAACAAUAUAACAGCUAAUCUGAAUCAUCAAAUCAAUAACAAUAUCAAAAUACUAACUGCCAACAGCUUGUUCUAGAGAUUAGAAUUCUCUCUUUAUUUGAAUUUUCUUAAGUUUUUAACAAUCUUUUGUCAUAUAUCAUGUAAUAAUAAUGUAUGCAUAGGAAUAAAUUUAUCUAUUUUUUAAAUUUAUUAACUGCCGAUCAACACAUGAAUUUUUACUCAAGAAAAAUUCAGAUCAUAAGAGAUUGUUAAUCCUUCUUUUAGAUAGCAUGCACGAUAAACACACGUAUGCUUUUGGAUAAAAUGUUGUAAAAAACAGUGCAUGCACUUUGUCCUCUUUAUCACUUAUUUAGCAAUGCUUCAUGACUCUAUCACCAAAAUGAUCAUGGUAUUAGUCUAUUAGAACCCCUAAGCUCAUGGCAUUGCGUCAUUGAACACAACCCACAAUUAGCUUUCAUUUGAGGAAUGGCACCAGAACCAGACAUGAUUACUAAUUAAUUAUAUUUUUUAGUUUUGUUGCUGUUGAUUAAUUAAUUUAAGAGAAUAUGUAUAUUCUUGGCAAGCUGGCUAGAAAUAACAAGCCCUUCAAUUGAGAGCCAAAAAAAAAAAAUCACAUCUAGUCAGAGGAGAGUCUACUGAGGACACGUGUAAUGGGAUGGGGCCUUCAUAAGGUGUUUUUGUUUCCUACCUUUAAUUUUUCUUCCUUUUUAUAUGACGCCAUUUCCACUAAUUAUAAUUUUUUUAAUCUAAUAAGUAAUAUAUGAAAGAAAAACUUUAUGAUAUAAAAAGUUAUAUCAAAAUAAUAAACUACAAGUAAAUUUGCAUACCUUCAUUUAGUGUUGUUCGAGUAUAGAAAACACUCAAACAUAUUACGGAUCUUCUAGCCUAUUCCUUCUUGAUAGCCUUAAUAAGUUGUUGGGGCCAGGCUAGCUAGGGGCCCCAUAGAAUUUGCAAUGGACUUGAUCAUUUUCUUCUACUAAGAAAAUUAAAAAAAUUCUUCUUUAUCUUAAUCCUUCAGGAAUUCGUGAAUACUCGUUAUAUCAUUAUCCAAUCCUUUAGAAACAUGCGAGCAUUUAUAAUUAUCUUUUAAUUAAAACUAACUGGCUACAUAUAUGUGAGCUCUAAUUAAAUCUCGAUCCAUAUAUGUGAGCCACAUCUAGAAAAGUGAGUCUAACCAUAUAUAAUUUAUUGUAAGCCAUCGUCAAUGCAAUCAUUAUGUUAUUUCCAUUCAAAUUAAUCACGAUCAUCACACAACUGAUCAUGCAUACACUCAUAGACUUGUUUCAGUACCGCUGUGAUAUUUGAUUAAGCUGUAUUAAUUUAUCUUACGUAAAAUUAAGACUUGGUCGUGAUCAGACAGCAAGUAAAGUGUGAGAAUGUAUAAUCUGAAUCUAGAGGAGUUGGGGGCUUUUGAUUUUCGAUAUGCAAAGAUUCACAGCUGAGAAAUUUCAAUUAAUACCACCAUUAUCUCCACAAAUUGCCACUAAGAAAAGUAUUGUUGGUCAUGGCCAUUAUCUCCACAACAAGGAUUCCACUCCCCAUCUACGUAGAUUCCAAAACAAGGCUUGGUGCACUAAGUCAACAAGUAUUAUAUUAUAUAAUUAAUACUUGAUGAAUAGCCAUGCAUUUCUCUUCUAUAUAAACUCAUAUAUCUCUCUUGUGAUUUCAUCGGGAACCAAAAAAGAAAAAAAGGGCUAUUUCACUCAGUAGUAUCAACUUUUGAUCUGCCUCCAGCUACGUUUUGUGUUUUCGGUGUUCUGCUAAACUCUGCUCUCAUGACCAAAGUUCAGCAUUGCUCCAACUUAAGCAACUCUUUUCUUUGGGAAAAAGUUGUAGAAUAUCAAUAAUCUCGUCCAAAGAUGAUGUCUUGGAAAGGGCAUGCCGAUUGCUGCUCCACUGAAUGAACAAAUUCAGUGGCAAUCUCUCUCAUACGUUUGCAAAAACUAGUGUUUUGUCAAGUCUUAACCUUAAUGGCAAUCGGUUCGAAGGAUCAUUGCCUCUGUCUUUACGAAGGAUCAUUGCCUCUGUCUUUGUUGAACUAUCAGUAUUUGGAAGUUUUAGAUUGAAGAGAUUGUAAAGUUAUACAAAUUGAACCAUAUCAAUCACUCCCAAGAUCACUGAUUCAGAUUUCCAAGAUGCAAAAAAGAUGAUCUGAUUAGCUAAUAAUGAUGAAUGAACCGAUGAUCAGAAUGAUGAAUUGACCAUAAACAAUCAAUAGAAACACAAAACCACAAGAAAGAACACAAGACACAGCAAAUAAUGUGGUUCAGUCAAUUUGCAUUGACUUACAUCCACGAGAGGAACAAAUCGAUCAGUUUAUUGAUUGAAUCAAGUUUUCUUUACAUAGUGGAUACAGAGCUAUGUUCAAGGAACAAGAAGACCUUCUUCACUUAAGCUUUUUUUUUUCUCUCUCUCUCUCUCUCAAAACCUCUGGAUCUCUGUGUUUGUUAAACCAGAACCAGUUGCAUUUCUAGGUUUAUAACGAACCCAGUUACUUGCCCAAUAUUGCACGUGAGAAGCAAAUGCUUUUAACAUCUUUAACAACCUUUACACAUCAUUCAAAACUUCACGUGCACUGCUCAUGGUUCUUUAAGUUCCAGCAAAGUUCUAAGUCGUUUAAACAAGUAAUAUUAAGACACCAUUAAACACAGAUCAGAAUGUUGUUUUGCUUAGCUUCAGUCACCAAAAUGCAUUGCUUUCUUGUUGUUUCAUCGAUCUUUUGAUUUGAUUCACUUUGCUUCAACAAAAUCUCCACCUUGAAACAAAUCAAACCUGACUAGCGUUUCGCCUCAUCCCUCUGCAAUUUAGAGACUACAUAAACUAACCAUGUUCAAGUAAACCUUGAACUUAGCUGUUGGAACCACUUUUGUAAGCAUGUCUGUAGAAUUAUUGUUUGUAUGAACCUUCAACAUUUUGAUCACACCUUUUGACACUUCAUUUCUGAUAUAGUGUAAUUUGACAUCAGGAUGCUUGGUUCUCUCAUGAUGAGCUGGAUUUUCACUCAAGUAUAUUGCACUAGAGCUAUCACAGUGAAUUUCGACAGUUUCUUGAGCUAUCCCUAAUUCUGCAGUCUCCCUUUGAGCCACAAAGCUUCUUUGACUGCCUCUAUACCUGUUGUAUAUUUAGCCUCUGAUGUUGACAAAGCAACAACAUGUUAGAGACUUGCUUUUUAGUUGAUAAUGCAGCCAUCUAGCAUAAACAUAUACCCUGUUAAAGACUUUCUUCUAUCAUAGUCCUCAGCAAAAGCUGAGUCCACAUAACGCCACGAGCCACUACUUAUGGCAUAUAACAAUCUAUAUUUCUGAGUACCAUUGAGAUACCUCAAUGUUGACUUGAUUGCUUGCUAGUGCUCUUUCCCAUGUGCUACUAUAUAUCUGCUUACAAUGCUUAAAGCGUCAGAAAUAUUAGGUCUUGUUAAGACCAUAGCAUUCAUUACAAUCUCCACAGCAUUGGCAUAUGGAACUUUUGCCAUUUCAGACUUUUCUUUAUCUGUUUUAGCACACUGCACAUUUAAGAGUUUGAAAUGAGAUGUCAAUGGCGUCAAGACAGGCUUACAGUUUGUCAUACCAAAGGUGUUAAGCACCUUUUUUACGUAUUUCUCUUGUGAGAGAAAUAUAGUUUUUUCUUUUCUGUUUUUUUUUUUUAUUUCCAUACCUAAGACCUUCUUGGCAUGUCCUAAAUCCUUCGUCUCAAACUCUAAACUCAGCAGCAGCUUUAAGGUUUCAAUCUCAUCUCUUUAUUUACAAGCUAUUAACAUAUCAUCUAUAUACAUCAACAAGUAUAUGUUGAGAUGUGUCUUAAGUAGCUUGUAAUAUACCCAACAAUCAAAGCUGCAUCUAUUGAAAAUAUUUGAGGUAAUGAACUCAUAAACCUGCUAUACCACUGUCUUGGGGACUACUUCAAGCCAUCUAGUGAUUUUUUCAAUAAAAACACAUAAUCAGCCCUCUUUGGUUUCAUAUACCUCUCUGAUUGAGUCAUCAGAAUCUCUUCUUGUAGUCAUCAAUGCAAGAAAGCAGUUUUGACAUCAAAUUGAUCAAGGUCCAUGUCAUGAACUGCUGUUAAAGUUAAUAACAUUCUUAUUGAAGCAUGUUUGACUACAGGUGAAAAAACUUCCUUGAAGUCAACUCCCUCUCUUUGGGUAUACCCCUUGGCUACUGACCUGGCCUUAAAGCUCCUGGGUUCUAUAGUUGUUAGGCCUUCUUUAACCCUAUAGAUCUAUUACAGCAAAUUAAUCUCUUAUUGUUAGGUUUCCUUACCAGCUCUCAAGUGUUGUUCUUGUAAAGUGAUGACAUUUCUUCAUCUAUAGCCUGCUGCCAUUAAGUCUUGAAUAUGCUUUGCAUUGCUUCUUUACAACUGCUUGGUUCUUCUCUAUCAAUUUUAUGUGAUGUAGCAAGUGCAUAUACAAUGACAUCUGCAUAGCCAAAUCUCUUUAGGAGUCCAAUCGUUCUUCUUUCUCUGUUUUUAGCCAAAUGAUAAAUCUUCUAACUGAGGCUUAUGACGUCCUCUGGUUUUGUCACUAUCAUCAACACCACCUUCAUCUGAAUCGAUAGCUACAUUUGAAGGUUUUUAUAUUGGCUACUCCACUUCAAAUUGAACAUUAUCAUCAGUUUUAUCGUUAAGUCCAGUAUCUCCGGUAGAUUGAUUCUUAUUCAAUACCACUUCCUUAUUAAACACCACAUCUCUAUUGAUUAUACAUUUAGGUAUAGACAAAUUUGUACACCAUAUCAGAGCUCUUUCUGGAUAACCUAUAAAUAGCUCUUUCAGAGCUCUUGGUGCCAAAUUGCCUUGAUUUAUAUGUGCAUAAGUAGUACAUCCAAACACUUUUAUUUUGCUGUAGUCUACAGGUUUACCAGACCACUUUUCAUGAGGUGUUUUGAAAUCUAUAGUUGAAUAAAGACUAAGAUUUACUAGUAAAUAAGCUACCAACAAGGUUUCUGCCUAUAACCCUUUAGGUAACUCUAAUUGAAUCAUCAUACAUUUGGCUUUGUCCAUUAGAGUUCUAUUCAUCCUUUUAGUUAAUGCAUUCUAUAUCUAAUAAUGCCUUCACUUGAACAGAAUUAAUUAACUAUCUGAUUGCAAUACUUAAGUCUAUUGUUUGUUUUCAGCUUCUUCAGUUUCUUUGCUGUUUGGUUUUCAACAAGAGCUUUCUACUCUUUAAAACUUCCCAAACACUUGGUCUUUAGUUAUGAGAAUAUACAACCAAACCUUCCUUGAGAAAUCAUUAAUGAUAGACAUGAAAAGUCUAUUUCCACCCAAAGAUGGAACGUUUGAAGGUCUCCACAGAUCUGAAUGCACAUAGUCCAGGAUGCUUUUGGUUUUGUGAAUAGAUUUCUUUAAACUAACCCUUGUAAAUGUCCCUAGAAUACAAUCCUCAUAGAAAUCUAGCUCUCUAAACUUAUCAGUUCCCAAAACACCCUGUUUUUCUAAUUUUUUAAGAUCUUUCAAGCUCAUUUAUCCAAUCUUAAAUGCCACAAUAUGAUAUUAUUUAUAUUAGUCUUAGUUGACACACUAGAUUCACUAGUCACUAUUUCACGAUCUAAGACAGAAACACCAUUUUUUUAAAGUCUCAAUCAUAAUUAGUGUUGUACCAUUUAAGAUCCUCAGUUCACUAUAUUCAACCUUGAAACUACAUCUUACCUGAUCAAGCGCCUCUAAAAGAAAUUAGAUUUCUCUUUAGGUCUACUACAUGCAUGACUUGCCUAAUUUCCCUUGCAGUCCCAAUCAUUAGUUUAAGGCUUAUGUCUCCCAUCUCAAUGACUUUACAUGCUGCAUUGUUACACCAAAAUCAACUGCAAUUUCAGGUUUAUAACAAACCCAGGUACCUGCCUACUAUCGCGCGUGAAAAGCAAGUGCUUUUAACAACUUUAACAACCUUUACACGUCAUUAAAAAAUUUCACAUAAAAUGCUGAUUUUUCUUUAAGUUCCAAGUCAUUUAAACAAGUAGUGUUAAGACACCAUCAAACACAUAUCAGAAUGUCAUUUUGCUUAAGCUUCAGUUACCAAAACUUAUUGUUUUCUUGUCGUUUCGUCAAUCUUUUGAUUUGAUGCACUCUAGUUCAACAUAGAUGUUGGGAAUAAUUAGUUUGAAGGUACCUUUCCCUAUUGGCUAGAAGUUUUUCCUAAAUUGCAAGUUCUUAUAUUAUGUUUAAAUAGAUUUUAGGAUCCCAUAGGUGAUACCAAAGCAAGAGUUCCCUUCCCUAAGUUGAGAAUGUUUGAUCUCUCUCACAAUGAACUCAUCGGUGUUUUGCCAAUAUUUUGGAUCAUUUUAAAAUUUUAAUAAAAUAACUGAAUUUAUUUAUAAAAAAUAAAUCCCAAAAUUUUAAUAAUUUAGGAGAUUUUUAUUAAAUCCAAAAAUUUUGUAAUUAUUUUUAUACUUAUAUUUUUAUUAAAAAUAAAAAUUCUAAUUUUUAGAUUUAUUUCUUUAUUAAAUGUAGGAGUGUUUUUAUAUAAAAUAAAAUCAUCUUUUAAUUUAUUUAGGGGUAAAAUUAUUAUUUCGUUUAAAUUAUUUAACGGUGUUAAUGCAAAAGUGGCUAAUUGAUACAAAUUUCAAAAGAAAGGUGGCGCAAAGAACAUGUUAGAAUUUUGUGAUGGUUGGAUGAAAAUAAAACAAAAAAAAAGUGGUGCAAUAAUAAUUUCCCAAAAAAAAUGACAAUCAAAGGCAAUGGCGUAAAAGAGAAAAGGAUUCUAACCGCUUUUGUUGUUAUUGAUUUGUCGAGCAACAUAUUUCAAAGAGGAACUCCAUAAGUGGCGGGAAAGUUUAAUUUACUAAUGUCUGGACAUUUCUCACAACAACCUCAUGGGUGGUAUUCUAUCAUUAUUAGGAAAACUAACACAGCUUAAAUCUCUAGACCUAUCUUCAAAUAAGAACAAUAUAUCUUUCUCGAUCAAUCACCUUGCCCCUCAUUCUUCGAGAAUAAAAAAUAUCAUUUUCAUGUUUCAAUUUGUUCAUUUGGAAUCUGGGUUCGCUCCUUUAUGGAAGAUUGAUAUAUUCCCAAAGAGAAAUCGGGGGCAAAAUAACAAAAGUCAACCCAUAACAUCUAUGUGAGCUUUUUUUUUUUUUUGGUCUGAAUGAAUUCAAAACAAUCCGCUUUUCUAGAUGAUCCUUCUAGAAGAGUGGGAUUAUAACAAUACCAAUCUUUCUAGUUACAUCAUUCUCUAUUACUAAAUGAAAGAAUCCUUAGGAAAAGUUUUUUGUUUCCCCCGAGCUAAAUUAAAAAAAUCUCUUACAAUGCUAAAUCUUUCGUACAACCACAUUGAGGGACCCUAUACCUCAAAGACCCCAAUUCGAUACGUUUCAAAAUGAUUCCUAUGUUGGUAACCCCAAGUUGUGUGGAUUCCUAUUGUCAAAAAACUACAAGAAAUUUGACUUUUUAAGACGAUUUUUAUUAUGACAUUUGUAGAGUUUGUCAAAAAAUAAUACUUAUUGUGACGAUUUUUUAAAAUCGUAGCCAAUGAUCUCAUCCUAGCUCAUCUUAUAUUUUGUAACAAAUAAUAUUUAUUUGGGACCCAUUAAUUGGUCACCUAAUCAAAUAUUUUGCGACAAACAUAAAAUGAGUCGCAAAAGUACAUGCUUUUUUUAGCACAACAAAAUAUCAUCUUUAAUGACAAAAAAAUAUGGUAGCGAAAUAUAAUCAUAGGUGACAUAAUUAUUUCAUAACUAAAUGAGGGAUGUAAAAUUAAUCAAACCAUUUGUAGCAAAAAAAAAAAAAAAAACUCCAAAACUAAUAUGUUGUUGACUAAUUUUAGAACCCUAAUUUUUUAUCGCAAAUAAUUACCUAUUGUGACAUAACUAAAAAAUAUUAGUUUAAAAAUUUAUCUUGUGUUAUAUUUCAUGACCCAUUUUGUUGGAUGAAAAUAAAACAAAAAAAAAGUGGUGCAAUAAUAAUUUCCCAAAAAAAAUGACAAUCAAAGGCAAUGGCGUAAAAGAGAAAAGGAUUCUAACCGCUUUUGUUGUUAUUGAUUUGUCGAGCAACAUAUUUCAAAGAGGAACUCCAUAAGUGGCGGGAAAGUUUAAUUUACUAAUGUCUGGACAUUUCUCACAACAACCUCAUGGGUGGUAUUCUAUCAUUAUUAGGAAAACUAACACAGCUUAAAUCUCUAGACCUAUCUUCAAAUAAGAACAAUAUAUCUUUCUCGAUCAAUCACCUUGCCCCUCAUUCUUCGAGAAUAAAAAAUAUCAUUUUCAUGUUUCAAUUUGUUCAUUUGGAAUCUGGGUUCGCUCCUUUAUGGAAGAUUGAUAUAUUCCCAAAGAGAAAUCGGGGGCAAAAUAACAAAAGUCAACCCAUAACAUCUAUGUGAGCUUUUUUUUUUUUUGGUCUGAAUGAAUUCAAAACAAUCCGCUUUUCUAGAUGAUCCUUCUAGAAGAGUGGGAUUAUAACAAUACCAAUCUUUCUAGUUACAUCAUUCUCUAUUACUAAAUGAAAGAAUCCUUAGGAAAAGUUUUUUGUUUCCCCCGAGCUAAAUUAAAAAAAUCUCUUACAAUGCUAAAUCUUUCGUACAACCACAUUGAGGGACCCUAUACCUCAAAGACCCCAAUUCGAUACGUUUCAAAAUGAUUCCUAUGUUGGUAACCCCAAGUUGUGUGGAUUCCUAUUGUCAAAUUUUUUUCAGAGGCACAUUAUUUGUAUUUGACUCUUCUUUUGUUUUGUGUGACUAACAUUACAACACUGAAAAAAAAGAAGAACAAUAAUCAAGAUCCACGCCUCGUACAAAUUUGUUGGCUGGCCGCGGCAACUCCAACGACUUCUGGGCAGUGGUGGGGAUCGGAUUUUGAAGGUGUUGUUGUGAGGAGAUAAACUCAGGUGGUGGUGGUCGAAAAUCCGGUGGAUCUUGCCGAUCAUGGUCACGCUUUGCGGGAGAAACCGCAGCUUCGUGUGGCCGUUUCUUGCUACUUUCCGGUGGCGGCGAAGAUACGCGAGUGCUCGCUGGUGCUUGGGAGUUAAUAAUUUUACAUAACAUUCUGUCUCUUCAAUUGCUAAUCUCGCAAUAUUUCUUUCUCUUCCGGCGAGUUUUUGGAAACUUCUCCGAUUAGGUAAUUUUCGCCUACCCUGUUUGUUUGCUAGGAAACUAACCAAAGUAACAACAAUGUAUAACACUAUGUGAUUAUAUGGAUUGCUAACUAAAUGUGAUAGUUGCUUCAAAUGAAAAAAGAUUUGAGAUAUUAUGUUUGAUACUUAACUUGAAUUAGGGAAUGUGUGUAAAAGAUUUGAGUGUAAAUCAGCUCACAAAUGGAAAAGAAUACAGAAGCACAGUGGCUGAAAUGAUAGCCGUAUAUUAGUUUCUUGUAUAUUGAAUUGAAAUGAUUUAUUAAUUUCUGAAUUAUUUUGUUUCAUGUGUGAGGAAGUCUUUUGAUGCAAUAGCUUUUGAAACCGAACUUGUUUAGGUGCUUGUUAGAUUUGUUUCGAAGUGCUUUGAUGUUCUUGAUUUAUGAAUGCAAUUGUUUUCAAGAUGGUUUUAACAGGUCUCGGAUGAAGUUGAUGUCCUGUAUUUUUUUUUUCAAAUGAUUAUCGUGCAAUGCUUGCUACUAAAUCAUUCAAGUUAAAAGUAGAACCUGUGAUUGGCGAGGCAAAGGAAUCAACUGCAAUAUUGUUCUGUGCCAAAAUUUUGUUCUUGGAAAAACAGUUUAUACUAUAUAAUUUGUACGUGAACCAAAAGGGGAUGCAUCCUUUCCUUUGCAGGCUUGCUAAGUAUAUAAUCGGGCUCUUUUUGGGACAGCUCUCAUAACUUCAGUUGUUCUUAUCUUUAUUGCAAUUAUUCUCAUCCUUUCAAGUAAGAGGUAUAUUUUGAGAUUGACACUAAAAUCAUAGCAAAUGUUUAUUAUUAUUAUUGGAUCCUUUAUAGAAGAAAGGUAUUGACCAUCUGCUUCUUGAAAGCAGUGAUGAUGAUGAUCGUGGGAGACCAACAUGAUGCAGGUCUUUUUUUGAUUCAGGAUUCAAUAUUUACCUCUCUCCAUUUGAUCUAUUUUGGUAAAUAUUUUUCUAGUUUCAAACCUCAGUAAUAUUCCCUAUAUUUUAACAGUUCAAAAUUAAUUAUAUGAAAGUCACCAAUUAAGAAGUACAAAAUUGAACUGAGAUGACUUUCCAAUUUUCAUCUAACUGCAAACUUCAUUAUAGAAAACUUCAUGUAGUUGUGUUCCCUUCUUAAAUCAUGUAAGGUACUGGAAUCCAUAUUAUUAUAGAAGGUGACGAGUAGAGACAGAUGAUGAUGAUAAAGUCUUAUGGAUAUGAGGGUGGAAGGCAAUGAAUGUAGUUCUUCUCGUGACAAGCUUUGAAAUAUUAUUUUGAUCUACGCCCAAAUCUAAAAUACAAACGACGUCCAAGAUACACCAAAUCAAAGUUAUCCUCACACCAUUUCCUUCAGCAAUACAAAAUUAUUUCAAAUCAUUUUUCUCCUCAAAAACUUGAUGUUUAGUAAAUCUUACUUUUAAAAUAGUAUGAGAAUGUAAAUGACUUAAAUAGAUAUAAAUCUAUCAAAUUUAUUUACACAUGCAUUUAUAAAUAUGUGUAUAAAAUAAUAUUUUAUGUGUAUAUAUAAUAAUUGAUAACUAAAAUAAAUAUUUUAUUUUAUUAAAUGUAUUGCUUUUGUUAUCCCAAUUUUUUUGUCUACAUUAGUAAUGUUAUCCCAAUUUUUUUUUCUACAUUAGUAAUGUUAUCCCAAUAUGUUGUUAAUAAUAAUCCCUUUAUGUUAUGAAAUAAUUAUAAUUUAUGUGAAUGUUCAUCGAAGCAUUCUUUUAUCUCCUCACAAGCAACUUUUCAUCUCUUAUAAUUCCCAUUAUCUCCUUAAUUUAAGGAUUGUUGUCUCUCAUAAUUAUGAUGUAUUACUUACUACUUUAUGGUUGUAUCACUAUAAAAGGAGAUUUUUACUCCUUGUUUGUAUACACUUGGAAGUGUGAAUAACACAUAAGAGAUUGAAUAAAAUUUCUCUCUACACACAUUAUGUCUCUUAUUUGCUUUCUUUCUGUCUCUUGCUAUAUGGUUGUGCUUUUAAUUAAUAGAUUUUAUAACACAUUAUUAGCACGAGUCUCUAGCCACAAGAGAUCAAUUUUCAUCCUCUUUAAAAUAUGGUAAUAUCUCUUCUUUAAUCUUACUCAUAAAAGUAUGAAGUAACAAUCUUGAUUUUUCCUAAGAUGAUAUUUACAUUCGCAUAUGUAUUUUGAUAAUCUAGAAUAAUGCAUCAAUGAAUUCAUGCUUUAAUAUCAGCAUUACUUAUAUUGUUAUUGUUUGACAUUUCUUAUUCUAAUAUUCAAUUGCUAUUAUAUAUUUUCCAUUAUUGAAAUUCAAAAAGUUCAUCCUAAAGUGUGAAUACUAUAAUAUACAAUGAAAGAAAAUUAAGAAUGCAUCCUCGGGGGAUUGCAUUGCAUAUAAUGAAGAUUUUCUUUCAAAAUAGGUUCCUGAAGAACUAUUACAAAAUUAUGAUGUCAUUCGUCACUAUCUUGUUUAUGAAGGAUUGACUAUAUAAGUGUAUAUUUUAUAUGUCCCUGAAGGACGUGUAUAUUUUAUAUGUCCCUGAAGGACUAUGUAAUGCCCAAAUUUGUAUUAUUUUAUUUUUUAUGGAAUUUAUAAAUAGCGUUUUUGCCCUUAUAAAAAGGGUUAUCCAUGGGAUAAUUUUUAGUAAAGGGUUAUUUUUUCAAAUUCAAUAGGGUUUCUUAAGACUCACUAUAAAUUCAUAUUUUUCCCCUUCCAUAACCCUGAACCCAUGACGUUUCUUCUUCUUCUCUGCUGCUCAUUACGCUCUUACCCAAACCCUAGAAUUCAAGCUUUUGCUUAGGAGAGAAUCAAAGCGAUUGAUAAGUUUAUUCUCCUUAUUCCCCACAAGAUUUUCAAUCACUCUAUCUAGGGUUUAUAUUGGCAUGAUUUUAGAUUGUUAUAGAUUAUAAUGCAUGAUUUAGAAUGUGUUUAGACUUUGUUUAGGGUUUUGAUUUAUUAUGAGUUUAGUAAUCAAUCCUAGACGUAUUAAGCACACAUGAUAAUUCUAGACAGCAUGAGUAUCUCGAAUUUAAACCUAUAUUUUCUGAACGAUUUUUCUUAUGACCGUUUUUAAAACUUACAUUAUUUUUAAAAAUAAAAUUUACUAAAUAUUUAAUUUAUUAUAACUAAUUAUUUUUAUAGUACAACCACCAUCAAUUAUUUAAAAUUAUAGCAUUAGCAAUCCGGCUCUUAGCUACGAGCAAUGCGCCAGUAAUAUACUCGUCGUUGAUAAAAACUUGUCCAUUUCACCGGACUAACACUCGCGCCACGCUAUCACUCAAUUAUAAACAGAAAAUAUUCGGAUAAGAAAUUAAAGCCACUGAAUGAUUGAAUUUCGAGUCUUCAGAGAAAUGCAACAGCGCUCAAUUUCAAACAAAGAAGCAAAACGCCAGCGUUUUAGUGCCGCCACUGCUCAGCUCUCUCUACGAACUCUGCCCUCUCCUGCAAAAUUAUAGUUGGCCUCUCGAAAUAGGUGAAAACAUUAAUACCCUUUUCUUUAUUCUACGUUUCCGAGAAAAUGCAAGAAAAGGUUUCAAGUAAUUAAUUAUGUGACUUCUUUUUGUGUUAAUUUGAUAGACAGUGUUCGUUAUGGAACUGCAUUAUUGUUUACUGAGUUUAAAUUCUAGUGGCCAGAUUAUUUUAGAACAUGCAGAUUAAUUACAUUUAGUAAUAAAACAUACAGUAAUAGUAUUAAAAUUUCCAAUGUGGACACAACUUCUUCUAGAUAGCAUGCUUAAUAAUUAAACACGGAAUUGUUGAACACAGCUUCUGCAUGCUGCUGAUGCCUUAUGGACUGGUUUUGUGGAAAAUGCUCAAUAUUAUAUUGAUUAUCUUUUUAGUCAUUCACAUUCUUUACGGGUAAAAGACGCCGAGAAAGGGAAUGAUCAAAAAGAUAAACGAUAUUGACCGCUCGAUUACAACAGUGCCAGUAGAAUUGAUAGAAAAAGCUUUUGCACCAUGUAAGUGCUCAUUAAUUAAUGAUUUUCAGGAAGAAAGAAUUGUUCUAUCCCUGUUUGGAGUUUGAGCAACAUCCUUACAUCUGUAACAUUCAACUUUUUGAUCCUUCCAAUGAGUUUAAUUAAUUCAUAGCUGUGGAAAACGAGUUGGAAUAGUUUGAAAUUUUGUAAAAUUGGCCACGACUAAUGCACUCAAUUUUACUUGGUGCACCGAGUCUAAAAGUAUAAUAAUGGAUAGUUAGACUCCCUCCCUUAAUUUCAUUUCAUACUUGCACACCAUUUCUCUUCUAUAUAUAAUCAUGCAUAUCUCAGUUAUUGUGAUUUCAUCAAGAGCCAAGAAAAGAACAAAGAAAAAAAUGGGUUAUUUAACUCAGCCUUAUCAACUUGUCAUCUGCCUCCAGUUAUCGCUCUUGUUUUUUCAGUGUUCUGCAAAGCUUUGCUCUCAAGAACAAAGUUCAGCAUUACUCCAAUUUAAGCAACUCUUUUCCUUUGCAAAAACAUCUUCUUCGCAAUGUGAUGGAUACCAACAAUCUUAUCCAAAGAUGAAGUACUGGAAAGAGGAUGCUGAUUGCUGCUCCAGCUGGGAUGGAGUGACAUGUGAUAUGGUGACGGGUCAGGUGAUUGGCCUGGACCUCAGUUGCAGUUGGCUUCACGGCAGCAUCUCUUCCAACAGUAGCCUUUUCUUUCUUCCUCGCCUGCAAAAGCUCAACCUGGGUUCCAAUGAUUUCAAUUACUCUAAGAUUUCUUCUGGCUUUAGUCAACUCCGGAGCUUGACACUCCUUAACCUCUCUUCCAGCAACUUCACGGGGUCAAUUCCUCCAUCGCUAGGUAACCUUACCCAACUUGUUUAUUUGGAUCUUUCAAAUAACAGUUUUAUUGGUGAAAUUCCGAAUAUGUUUACCAACCAAUCCAAACUUUCUUAUUUAAACUUUGGGGGGAAUCAACUGACUGGCCAAAUUCCUUCCUCAGUGGGUGAGCUUGCAAAUUUAGCUACAGUCUAUUUGUAUUUUAACUCUCUUAAGGGGACAAUUCCAUCUCGAAUCUUUUCUCUGACAUCACUGAAGCAAGUUGAUUUCAGGCAUAACCAACUAUCUGGCUCGGUUCCAAGUUCAGUAUACGAACUUGUGAAUUUGACUCGUCUUGAUCUUUCUUCAAAUAAGUUAAGUGGUACAGUUGAACUUUACGAUUUUGCAAAGCUCAAAAAUCUUAAAUGGCUUGUUCUCUCUAAUAAUAGUUUAUCACUGACUACCAAAUUAACUGUCAGCUCUUCUUUCCUUAAUCUUUCUAGAUUGGGUUUAUCCGCUUGUAAGAUAAGUAAGUUUCCAGUCAUCUUGAAAACUCAACUUCAAUUAGAGUGGUUGGACCUUUCUGAAAACCAAAUCCAUGGUAGGGUUCCUGGUUGGAUGUGGGACGUAGGAAUACAUACUCUAAGUUACCUAGAUCUUUCACAAAACUUCCUGAGAAGCAUAAAACGUCUUCCAUGGAAAAAUCUAAAAAAUCUUUACCUUGAUUCGAACUUACUUCGAGGAAGACUGCUGGAUCUACCACCUCUCAUGACAAUCUUUUCGAUUUCCAAUAAUUAUUUAACUGGAGAGAUUCCUUCAUCAUUUUGUAAUUUGAGUUCUAUUCAAUAUCUUGAAAUGUCCAACAAUAGCUUCAGUGGACAAAUUCCGCAGUGUCUUGUCAACUCUACCGUGAAGUUUUUGGAUCUUCGAAUGAACAACUUCCAAGGUAUCAUCCCACAAACAUAUGCAAAAGACUGCAAUUUGACUUUUCUUAAGCUGAAUGGCAAUAAACUGGAGGGGCCAUUGCCACCAUCUUUGAUUAAUUGUUUCAGUUUGCAUGUUAUUGAUGUUGGGAAUAACAACUUGAGUGGAGAAAUUCCACAAUGUUUUGGAAACUCAGCACUUAAGGUCUUUGAUAUGAGAAUGAACAGAUUCAACGGUAGCAUCCCUCAAAUGUUUGCAAAGAGUUGUGAUUUGAGAAGUCUUAAUCUUAAUGGUAAUCAAUUGGAAGGCCCAUUGUCUCCAUCUUUGAUUAACUGUCGGUAUUUGGAAGUUCUUGAUAUUGGGAAUAACCAUAUUAACGACACAUUUCCUUAUUGGUUAGAAAUUCUUCCUGAAUUGCGAGUGCUUAUAUUGCGAUCUAACCGAUUUUGGGGUCCCAUUGGUAAUACGAAAACAAGAGCUCCCUUCUCUAAGUUGCGAAUACUUGAUCUCUCUCACAAUCAACUCACUGGUGUAUUGCCAACUCGGUAUCUUAAUAAUUUUAGAGCCAUGAUUCAUGGGGAGAAUAAUAGUGUUACUGUUGAAGUGAAAUAUUUGAGUUUGCUAAAUUCCUCCUACUAUGCCUGCUAUGAAUCAAUAAUUUUGACUAUGAAAGGAAUUGACCUACAACUGGAGAGGGUUCUAACCAUUUUCACGACGAUUGAUUUGUCGAGUAAUCGAUUUCAAGGAGGAAUUCCAGCAAUCGUGGGAAAGCUUAAUUCGCUCAAAGGUCUUAACAUUUCUCACAACAACUUGACAGGUGGCAUUCCAUCAUCAUUAGCAAAUCUGACAGAGCUUGAAUCUUUAGACCUAUCUUCAAACAAGCUUGUUGGGCAGAUUCCAAUGCAAAUGGCGAGUCUAAAAUCUCUUUCGGUGCUAAAUCUUUCACACAACCAGCUUGAGGGACCUGUACCUCGAGGAACCCAAUUCAAUACAUUUCAAAACGAUUCCUAUGCUGGCAACCCGGGCUUGUGUGGAUUCCCAUUGUCAGAAAGCUGCGACAUGGAUGAGGCACCGGAUCCAUCAUCACCAACAAGUUUCCAUGAAGGAGAUGAUUCUCCAAGUUGGUUUGAUUGGAAGUUUGCUAAGAUGGGUUAUGCAUCUGGAUUGGUAAUUGGCUUGUCCAUUGCAUACAUGGUAUUUGCGACUGGAAGGCCGUGGUGGUUUGUAAAAAUGAUCGAAGAGAAGCAAGCCACGAAGGUGAGAAGGGUGAGCAGACGAGGCAGAGCAAGAAGAUGAAAUCAGUAGGUCUUCACUAUCUGUUCCAGGAUAUUAGUCUGUCUUUAAGUAGACCGCGUGAUGGUAUUUUUCACUAUCUGAACUAGUAUUUGAACAGUAUAUUAAUUUGAUGUGUUUUUUGUUCAGGAAUUUUAUUACACUCACGGAAUCGAAGCAGUGGAAGUCAUAUAAUCCUGCGGGUACAACAAUUUUCUUUGCUUUAUUUUCCAAUCCAUAUUAAUAUGCUAGGACUUAUUUUUUGUUGGCAAACUUGAUCAAAACUCUUGAGGAAAAAAAUGAUUUGAAGAAAUAAUAAUGUUGAUGUAGGAAAUGGUGUGGGCAACUUUUAUUUGUUUGUCUUGGCCCAGUACGUUGGAUUUCGAAAAAUUGGAAGCUUGCAACGAUGCAAGAAUCAUUCACCGCCUUCCGACAGCUAUGAUCCAUAUAUGCGAUUUUUGCAAUGUUUAUUUUUCAUAAGAAAUUCAAAUGCUACUUCAGAUUCUAUUAAUAAAUCCCGAAUCCUUGUACAUCCAAAUUUCAUUGUUUCAUGAUUCAUCAUAAUCCAAUAAAGUCUUGAAUGCUUGUACCAAUUCAAAGGUUAAUUGUGGAUCAACAAAAAGAAAUAAAAUGUAUGGGGGCUAGACACAGGUCCUAUCUAUAUACCAGUUAAGUUUUUUGCCAAGUUAUCUCCACUGUUGGUUAUCUGCUUGAGUCUGAAGCAAUAACAGAAAAAAAAAAUAGAAAAGAAAAAAUGACUAAUAUGAUUAGUUAUUAUUAAAUUAGUCGUUAAAUAUUUAUUUAUUCUUAUUACGAUAAUUGAGGCAAUAAAUUGCAUAUUCUUGUUUAAUUUUUAGUUAUUCCUUGAUAACGUUCAAUUUUUAUUUUUCAUUUGAAUUUUUUUCCAAAUUUUUGGGGGGAGAAAAGGUAAAGAAUGAGAGAUUAUUUAAUAAAUUGAAUUUAGAGCACAAUCACAGAAGCAUUAAGCUCCUGCUAAACUGUUGUUCGACUUGCAAGUUUUUGGAUCAAAUAAUAAAGUUUGUGCCUUGAGAAGUUAGUUCAUGGCUGGAAUGUUAUUUCUGAUCUAGAGCUAGCGUCCUGAGAAAAUUUUGCAAUGGGAAAAAAGUGCCGCAAUUGCGCCUAUAUUGUUGAAGUUUUCUGAAUUUUCUGAAGUUAACAUUGACAAUAGAAGACUCAUUGGUAGGCAUUAUUCUUUUAUACUUAAUAUAUAAUUGAGUUCACAGCUAUCCAGAAAAUGGGACAGUUUUUUUUUUAUUUAAUUACAAAAUUAUCCUUAUUGAAACCCAUAUAAGAAUAUUUAUACUAAUUAAUUAUAUUACUUCUUCAACUAUCAUCAAAUUCUUAUUUGAGUUCAUUAUUUAAAGAAUAAGUAUGUUAUCUAAAUAAUCUCAAAUAAUGUACUAAACAAAUAUUUUGAGGAACAAUACUCAUUUUGGCUCCUUUUUAUUAGUUAUAUCUUUAAUUUCUUAUUCAUAAAAUUCUCUCGCAUUGAACUAAAAAAGAAAAGGAGAAAUUCAGCUCACCCAAAAAAAAAAAAAAAUGUUGUUAGCGUCACCAUUGAAAGGGGCUAAAUUAUGUAUUGUCUGACUAGUGAAACUCUUAUCAUGUCUGCUAAUAUGCUGCUUCUGGAUCCCUUAUUCUGAUUUCCAUGGCAGUGAUGGCAGCAGAGCUUGUUCAUAUUGGUAGAAGUGAAAGCAAAUUAAGGAGAGAUAGAGAGACUAAGGUAACCAAAUAGAAUGUCCACUAAGUUUAAUAUGGUGAAGUCCUGGAUCAGUCGCUUUGCUGAAAUGAUUUCAAGUAAUCACCCACUGUGAUUGGCAUUUUUCUCUUAUUUAAGUUUUGGUGAAAGUGACAGGAAGUGUUAAGGAGAAAAGAUCAGCCUAAUUCAAUGCCUCACUUGCUGAUCCUAUGAGUUUCAUGGCUGCGGAAAAUGUAGAAGUACUAGUUUGAAAUUUUAUAAAUUGUUCAAAAAACCUCUGUCCAAUAGAUUAUUAGGCUAAGCAACAAGACUUGGUGCUCAAAGCCUAAAAGUAAUAUAAAGACUUGGUAACUCCCUUAUUCACCGGCAUGGCAUAUCUGUUCUUGUGACUUCAAUAAGAAAGAAAGAUAAUAUGGAUUAUUUAACUCAGCCUUUUCAACUUUUGAUUUGCCUCCAGUUAUUGCUCUUAUAUUUUCAGUGGGCUUGACUGAAAUGCUCAUUAAUGACUAGAAAAAGUUAUCUUAACUUAUAAGGUGGACUUGACUGUAAUGCUAAUUAAUGACUUUGAGAAAGAAAGACUUGUUCAGGUGUUCUAUACAUACCUCUUAAUUUGGACAUAUCUUACAUCAGUAACUUUCAACUUCUCUGAUCCUUCCCAAUGUUCCCAUGAGUUUCACUAUCAUAGCCGUGGAAAAGAAGUUUGGAGUUUUACAAAAUUCGCAAAAAAAAAAAAAAUUAAGAUUACUGCUCCGCAAUUCAUACAGUUGACCAGGAGAAAAGAUCACUUUAGAGCCUUAUAGGGGGAAGGGAUUGAAGGAAAGAUGUCUUUCUAUUUAGAGCAGGCAACUUGGCAUAAGUUUUCAGCUUAAAUUCAUACAGUUGACCAGUUACAUACAUAUAUGAUAACUUAAAAUAUCUGAGAGUUCGGGUUUCUUAUAGUAUAAACGCAUCUGCUUUUGGACAGGUUCGUGGAAAAACUAGAAUAUGUUUUCGAUUUAGUAUUGGAAUUCUAACUUUUCGGCUUUUGACCUUUCCCAUGAGUUUCGUGGCUGUUGAAAAAGUAAAAGUACUGCUUCAAUAUUUUACUAACUGUCGGAAAACAACAUACCAAUAGCAGCAAUGGGCCUUUGGUCCAAUGGGAAAAGUUUUGUACUUACAAUAUUGAGUGCAAGAGUUCGAGCCUCCAUAAGAAUUUUAUGGGGGUUAAUUUCAGUACGCUCUCAAUUAUCAACAUAAUUGAGUGGAGACAGUCUUUCCCUUAUGAAAUGUGAGUGGAGUAGGCACCCCUCGAAUAUUAUAAAUUGUUCAAAAAAACCUCUGUCCAAUAGAUUAUAAGGCUAAGCAAUAAGACUUGGUGCUCAAAGUGUAAAAGUAUUACAAAGACUUGGUGCCUCCCUUAAAUUCACUUCAUACUUGCACAUCAUUUUUCUUCUACUUUUAUUGAAACCUAUAAAACAAUUUUUAAGUGGUAAAUUAGUUAUAUCACGUCUUCAACUAUUAUCAAAUUCUUAUUUGAGUUCGUCAUUUAAAUGGUAAAUGUGUUAUUUAAAUAAUUUCAAAUGAUGUAUUAAACAAAUAUUUUGAGGAACAAGGCUCAUUAUGUCUCCUCUCAUUAGUUGUAUUUUUAGUUUCUUUUUAAAAAAUUCUCUCAUAUUCAAUUAAAAAAAAAUUCAGACCAGCCAAAAAAAAAAAGUAUUUAGCUUCGUGGCUGAAUUGGGCUAAAUUGUGUAUUGUUUGACUAGUGAAACUCUUACCACAUCGGUCAUCGGCUAAUAUGCUGCUUUUGGGUCCCUUAUAAUCAACAUCUAUGAGAAAAAGGGAAACGAGAAUCAUAUGUAAGGAAAAUCAUUUCAUGAUGGAGGAAAAUUUACCUCAACUAUAGGAAUUUUGGUCCCUUGGUGCCAAACUUAUUUUUGCUUUGAUUUAUUUCUAUAGCCCAUGAGAACUUGCUAUCACAGAACAUGUAUGUUUUGAUGGUAAAUCAAAUUUUUGCUAUCACAGAACAUGUUGUAGCUCCGGGGCAUGAUGGUUCCCUGAUUGCCCGUCCGUCGAGGUCCGGAUAUGAUGAGAUCAUUCCCCUGGGUACUUGUUUGAUGAUAGUUUUUGGUAUUAAGUAUUUAAUAUGAUAAGUAUUAUGAUUCCAUCGAUUUUAUGCAGAUUUAUGUAAUAUAGUAUUUCAGUGACUGAUUUGAAUUAAAUAAGUUCCCGUUUUUUUUUUAUUCCCCCCCCCCCCGGCAGGAGAUUUGCAGGUACAUCAGUCGACCCAGCAACGAAUGUUAGUUUUGAAAUUGUGGCCACGUGAUGGUGCUAGGAGUCGUAGAUUUAAUAAUUUUGAUUUUUUUGGGAUAUUGCGAAUUGUAUUUAUUUGUUAUAUUUUGUAAUUAAGGAUAACCAUUGCAUUUUUAUAUUAGAAUGAUUUGGGUGAUAUUUGAUAUGUUGACUUGAGAAGUUGGUUAUAAAGGAUGGAUGGAUAUUGAAUUAUUUUGGGAGUAUUGUUUUGUAAAUUGUCGGUUUGGGGAUGUUUUAUUUAUAAGGGAGAUUCUGCCGAAUUUUUAAUAGAAUUCUUAGAUAUCAUAAAUAAUAUCGAUUCGAUUAUACGAGUUUAGAUAGACUCGCCCUGGGAGUGCGGGUCGGGUCGUUUCAGUUAAGGUCUCAUUGUUUGCUUGUGUAAUAAAGUGAAGGCAAUUAUAUUGAUUUAGACUAUCCCAAUAUUUAUUUUGGUUUCUUAAAAAAUUAAUUCCAUGGGUCUUAAAAUUAUCUUUUUAAUUUUCGUAGUUCGUGUAAAAAUUAUUGUUCAAGUAUGGCGGGGUAAGGGUUGUGUAGCUGCAAAUUUACUCUACCACAGUCAUGUACAAAUAAAGUAAUAGUCGAGUUUUUGAGAAAUUAUUCUGUCAUAGUCACGCACAAGUUAGGUGAUCAUCGACUAAUGGAAAUGGUCUAGGCACAAAUCAAGAGUAUAAUCGAGUAUAAAUGCAAGUGUCAUAAGAGUGAGAUAAAAGGUCGCGUAAUUUUUACACAAAGGUCGAGUAUUUAAUAAUUAUAGUCGAUGGGUGGGUAAUGGUCAGGUAAAAAACGGGGGGUAUGGUAAGGUAAAAACUAAAAAAAUGGAGAAUAAAUAUACUUUUUAAGGAUAUCUAUGACUUUUCAUUAAGAAAUUGUCAUAUUAAUGAAUUUGCGUACCGGCAGGGAAAAAGAUGCUGCAAUGGUCUCUACACUGGGGAAGAACUCUGAAUUUGCUGAAGUUAACAUUGGCAAUGAAGGCUCAUUAUUAAUGGCUUUAAGAGGUGAGAUCAUUCCUCUCAUACUAGAUGUACCACAUCAAUAAUUCUUUUUCUUCUAGGGUCAAAGUAAAGGAAUUUUUUUCAGGAGCAGAUAUUUCGUUAUUGACAAUAUUUUGAUGAUGUUUUAGUCUAUAGUUGAAAUGCUGUAACUUUGCUUCUGCAGAUGUGGAUCUUGUUCGUGGCAGCAGGGCCUUAUCAACAGGCACUGAAAUGCACUGUAUUGGAAGCUGCCAUAGAAACCAAGGUGAGGAAAGGUAAAUGUUGUGUUUGAUUAUCUCUUUUCCAAGUCCAGUUUCCUAUGUUUUAUAUAUGUGAUGAUUGAAGCAUGUAUUCUUUUUGUUAGGGAUGACAAUAGAUUGGAUCUGACCCAAGAUCCACGUGAUCCAAAUCCAAUCGGAUCGGAUUUGGGUCGAUUUAAAAUGAAUUUAGAUCGGAUUUGGAUAUCGAUGUGUUGAUCUAAGACGGAUUUGGAGCAGGUCUGAAUCUAUCUUAAUAUCUAAAUCUAUAAACAUAUCCACCAAUCUUUUAAUUUUAUUUUAUUUUAAAAGUUUCUUAACAAUUGUUGAAUUAUAAUGAUAAUAAAUUUUAUUCAUAGCAUACUUCAAGGAUCAUUUUGUAAUUUUACCAAUUCAUCCUGACUUGUCCAACGAUAGCUAAUUGGGUGCACCAAUUCUACAGUGUCUUGGAAACUUUACACUUGGGCAUUUGGAUCUUAGAAUGAACAAUCUUCAUGGUAGGAUCCUAGAAGCGUAUGCAAAAAACUGUAAUUUGUCUGCUUAGGCUAAAAGACAAUCACUAGAAUGGACCAUUGCAACCAUCUUUGAUUAAUCGUACCGGUUUAAUGUUUAUGGAUGCUCGGAAUAACAACUUGAGCAGCCCAAUUCCACAACUUCUUAGAAACUCAACACUUACUAGGGUCUUGGAUAUGAGAAUGAGUGGAUUUGAGGCAGCAUCCCUCAAAUGUUUGCAAAUGUUUGCAAAGAGUUGUGAUUUGAGAAGUCUUAACAGGCAACCAAUUAGAAGGAUAUUGCCCUCCAUCUUUUACUGAGAGUCAGAUUUGAAAGUUUUUGAUAAUGGGAAUAAUCAUGUUAAUGAUACAUUUCCUCAUUUGCUAGAAAUUCUUCAUGAAUUGCAAGUGUUUAUAUUACGAUCUAACCGAUUUCGGAUCUAAUUGGUGAUAGCAAAACAAGAGGAAAGGGACUCUCGUUUUAGUACCCCAAAAUCGUUAGAUCGUAAUAUAAGUACUUGCAGUUCCAAAAGAAUUUCUAAUCAAUAAGGAAAAGUAUCAUUAACAUAAUUAUUAUUAUUCCCAAUAUCAAAAACUUCCAAUCGUUGACAGUUAACUAAAGACGGAGGCAAUGAUACUUCCAACUGAAUUUAUUCAUUAUCAUAUUCAAGAUCUUAACAAAUGUUGAGUUUCCAAGACAUUAUAGAAUUGGGCUGCUAAAGUUGUUAUUUCCUAAAUUAAUAAACAUCAAACCGAUACAAUUAACUAACUAUGUUGACAAUGGUCCUUGUCAUUCAGCCUAAGCAUACAAAUUACAGCCUUUUGCAUACGUUUGUGGGAUUCUACCAUGAAGAUUGUUCAUUCUAACAUCUAAACACCCCAGUGUUUCCAAGACACUGGGGAAUUUGUCCACCGAAGCUAUUAUUGGACAUAGAGAUGGCCCACAGGUUGGGUGGUAUGUGCAAGGAUGUUUUAGUAGGGUAUGUGGCAUGGUGUGCACACAAACAAACUGGAUUGGACUAGAAAUUUUAAGCACGUAGUCCUUAAAAUCACGUCCUUCUCUAUAUGCAACAAUGGGAAGUAUCAAAUAAUCCUGACUCAAUUAAUUGCAGCAAUAAUGAUGUGAAGACGAUGUGGGCUUAAUUUGGGUGUGCAACUUCGGUUCUGUAAGUUGAAUUUGAAUGUGUAAAAUUACUGUUCUGAAACUCAUAAUAAGAUAAUUGAUUGGGUGUAAAAAGAAAAUGGAUUGAAUAAUUGAAAUAACUUAGGUCCAAAAUCUCUAACCUUACAUGAUCCCUGUUCAAAUGGCCCAGUACUUGCCAGGUCAAUAUGUGAAAACUGAUCCAAGUCACCAGCCUCAAUAUUCUCGCCACGUCAUCACUCAACAGGUUGCCACUGACGAUAAUUUGGAUAAGAAAAAACAGCUGAAUUGAGAGCCUUCACUCCUCACAGAGAAACCAAAAUGGCGCGAGCUUUGCUUCAUUUGAAUAGCACAAGAUGAACAACAUUCAUUGUCAUUGUCCUUGUUACCCAUGAGAUUAUUGCCAAAUUUCAAAUGUUUCUGGAUUUCAAGUUACUUAAUUGCCAGCACUUUAGGAAUCUUCUAUGAAUUUUAUUUUUAUUUGUUUAUAAGAAAUUCAUUUCUUACUCCUGUGUUUUGUAUUUUUCUUACUUUAAUUUUCCAGUAUUUUUCUAGUCAUGGACAGAAUCUGCUAUGUUCAUAGGUUAGGAAUUAACAGGUUAUAAAACUCAGGCGGUUAAAUAAUUUUUAUCAAUUAAACAUAUUAUUCAGAAACUUUAUUUCUCCUUUUCGUCUCACUUUAGAAAUAUUUAUAAGCCCAACGAAUUUGCCAGUUUAACACAUUGUUUUGUUGUACUAACGAAUUCAAUUGGUAAAAUCUCUUCAGUCUAAAAAGGAGAUCUAGAAUUCAAAUCAUCCUAUGUUAAAAGAAAAAGAAGAGUUGUCAUUAAUCUACUUUAAAAACAAAGUUUAUUCAAAUGAAAGUGAUUUUGCUCUCAAACACAAAAGAUGAAAUUGUUGGCGUUUAUUCUCGUGAGAUUGCUGUGCUUGAAAAUGUUUGAUUAUAAGCAAUAGGGGAAAGGUCAUUCACUAUUAUACCCUUGAUUACAACAACCGAAUAAUUGACUUAAUUAAACUUCUACAUGUAAUCAAUAUAAAUUAAACUUAAAAUAAUAUAAUAUAUAAAUAAGAUAAAAUUUAUAAAAUAUUUUGAAUAUUAGAAAAGUUAUUUUAAUAUUAUUAAUUUGUCAUAUUCUUUUAAUAGUAAUAAAAUCUAUUUGACAUAUUAAUAAUAUUUAAAUAAUUAUACCUAACAUUCACACUAAUUUAUAAAAUUUAUAUUAUUUUAUUUGCAAUAUCGUUUUUAAUUAUGUCUAUAUUAGUAUAAAUCUUAAACUCAAAGUUUUGGAUUAAUAGAUUUUAGUAUUAAUAAAGUCCGUUGCGAUAGACUAAUAAUAACUUAAUACUAAAAAUAAUUUUCGUUAUAUAUGUAAUUUUAUUAAUUAUACUUCUUGUAAUAAUUUAUUUGUAUCAUAUGCUAUUUAUUUACUAUUUUUAUAUCAUAUGCUAUUUAUUUACUAUUUUUAUAUCAUAUGCUAUUUAUUUACUAUUUUUAUAUCAUAUGCUAUUUAUUUACUAUUUUUAUAUCAUAUGCUAUUUAUUUACUAUUUUUAUAUCAUAUGCUAUUUAUUUACUAUUUUUAUAUCAUAUGCUAUUUAUUUACUAUUUUUAUAUCAUAUGCUAUUUAUUUACUAUUUUUAUAUCAUAUGCUAUUUAUUUACUAUUUUUAUAUCAUAUGCUAUUUAUUUACUAUUUUUAUAUCAUAUGCUAUUUAUUUACUAUUUUUAUAUCAUAUGCUAUUUAUUUACUAUUUUUAUAUCAUAUGCUAUUUAUUUACUAUUUUUAUAUCAUAUGCUAUUUAUUUACUAUUUUUAUAUCAUAUGCUAUUUAUUUACUAUUUUUAUAUCAUAUGCUAUUUAUUUAUUAUUUUUAUCUUAUUGCUAUAUUUAUAUUUACUUCAGUUAUUGUAAUCAAAGGAUAUAAGAGUUAUUUAUAAGAUUAAGGGGGUAUGUGACCAAUUAAGCAACCUUAGGAGCGUGGCCACAUGGGUAGCACUUUCAAUUCUGCAUAUUAAUUGAUCUAAGCUUACAAAUUCAGCAUAUAGAUUGCACAUAUUUACUGUAAACUACAAAGUAAAUGGAAGGUCUAUUCUAAGUCAACUUGCUUAGUAAACUAAAACAAAAUCAAAACAGAGGAGGGAAAAUGAACAGUGUGUCCAUUUACAUGUAAUUGGACUCUACGGACUUAGUCGACUAACUCUCAAAUAACUUUAUUUAAUUCGCCAUUCGAUCAUAAGGGAGAUAUGUGUUAUAACAUACAUAUGGAUGCCGUCUAUUCAUCUACUUUCUAUAAAACCAUAAUAAUAAUAAUAACUAGAGUCUAGCCGGCUGCUACAUCACCAUAUACGAAAGACAACUGACAUUUGUCUUAUCUAUAUAUCAUUUAAGCUUUAAUAUGGACUGGUUCGUGGAAAUUGGAAAAACUGGAAAAUGCUGCUUUCGAAUAAUCAAAGUCUGCUAUAGACACCAUGAAAGGAAACGAGCAAAAAACAAACAUAAUCUAUCAAUGAUUAUGCUUAAUCAAUGAUCAGCAUCCAUCGUCUAUAGAGAGAAAGAAAAUGAGGGUCAUAUAUAAGAAAUCAAUGAUAGGAUGUGUUCUCUUGAUCAGGAAUUUUAGACUUUUGGAAGCUAGCAGUGGAAGUCAAAUAUUCUCCAGGUACCAAAAUAUGUUUUGCUUUCAUUUCCAUUGCAUCAGAACGUGAUACUACACAAUUACAUUUUGAUGGUUAACUUGAUCAAAAUUUUCAGGAAAAAAAAUUAUUUUAAAAAUAAUUUUGACGUAGGAAAUGAUUUGGGGCGACAUUCGUUUGGUGCCAUUUAGGCCACAUUUUCAGAAUUGGGCGUAUAGUAUAUACUUUCUCAAAGCUGGUAACAAGAUGAACAAUGCUGCGCAUAAACAAUAUUGUUACAUAUAUUAAUGUAGGGGUGCUCUGGCUCUGAUCCACAAGUGUUAUGGCGUCACGCGAAUAUCUAUAGAACUGGAUCGAAAAUGACAAGUUACCUAAAAGAAGACUUCAUAAUUUAUGCCUUGAAGGAAAAAGAAAAAGAAAAAGAAAAUCAAUUAAUUAAGGUAACAAUAAUUAUUCAUAAAAAUUAAACAUGGAGGGCCGGACGCCCUGUCCUACAUUCCACGCCGGUCUUUAACUAAUUUGUUUCUGUUCAUUUUUCUCAUUCGUCUUCUGGCAAAAUCGGUAGAUUCUGAACCAUCUUUAAUUUUCAACAAGCAUGUGCUUUGACAUUGAUUCUUUAACUACCCCGAGGGAGUAUAAACUGAGUAAUUUCUGUGUUCUGCAUAUCUAAGUAAUAUUGAUUCGGAUUCUUUUAUUUGAUGUUAACGGUGUAUAACAUUGAAUUCUAAAUUUAGUCUUAUCAAUGCAUCCAUGUAGAUUAUUCCUCCUCAUCUUUUUUUUUCUCAUGGUAGUAUUGAUCAAGAAGUAAAUGGAAGGCCGAACAACUUUUUUAACAAACUGAAACAGAAUUAAAACAGAGGAGGGAAAAUCAAUUGUGCUUUGUGCAUAAUGUAUAUGACUGACCAACUAACUACGAGUUUAGCUGCCUGCCACAUCAGCAUAUAUAACACAUAACUAAUAUCAUUCCGCGUCGAGCAUGUCGUCAAGAUCCCCCUCUUGAAAGGAUUCCACUUACCACCUAAAUUCCAAAGCAAGAUUUGGUGCCGUAAGUCAAUAAAUAUUAUAUUAUUAAUUAAUUACACACCAUAUUCAACUUCUAUAAAUAUUCAUUAUAUCUCUCUCUCUUCUUGUGAUUUCAUCAUCCAGAAAAGAAAAAGAAAAAGAAAAAUGGGUUAUAUCACUCAGCCUUAUCAACUUUUGAUUUGCCUCCAGUUAUUGCUCUUCUAUUCUCAGUGUUCAGCAAUACUUUGCUCUCACGACCAAAGUUCUGCUUUACUCCAAUUUAAAGAGCUCUUUUCCUUUCAAAAACAUUCUUCGCACUAUUCUGAUAUAUUUCAAAAAAUAUCUCGUCCAAAGAUGAUGUCUUGGAAAGAGGACGCUGAUUGCUGCUCCUGGGAUGGAGUAACAUGUGAUUCGGCGACGGGUCACGUGAUUGGCCUCGACCUCAGUUGCAGUUGGCUUCACGGCAACAUCCCUUCCAACAGUAGCCUUUUCUUUCUUCCUCGCCUGCGAAAGCUCAACCUAGCCUUCAAUGAUUUCAAUGGCUCUAAGAUUUCUUCUGGUUUUACUGAUCAAUUUCCAAGUUUGACACUCCUUGACCUCUGUUCCUGCAAUUUCACGGGGUCAAUUCCUCCCUCACUAGGUAACAAUAUUACACAGCUUGCUUAUUUGGAUCUAUCAAUUAACAGUUUUAUUGGUCACAUUCCAUCAUCUUUUUCAAAUCUCCACCAGCUUCGUCAUUUAGAUCUUCAGUCCAACAACUUUGUUGGUAAAAUUCCUGCAUCAUUAGGUAACAAUAUUACACAACUUGCUUAUUUGGAUCUCUCAUCUAACAGUUUUAGUGGUCACAUUCCAUCAUCUUUUUCAAAUCUUCAGCAGCUUUGUUAUUUAGAUCUUGAUGACAAUCACUUUGUUGGUGAAAUUCCUGCUUCACUUGGUAACAAUAUUACACAACUUGCUUAUUUGGAUCUCUCAUCUAACAGUUUUAGUGGUCACAUUCCAUCAUCUUUUUCAAAUCUUCAGCAGCUUCUUUGGUUAAAUCUUGAGUACAAUAAUUUUGUUGGUAAAAUUCCGGAUAUGUUUACCAACCUAACCCAACUUUCUUUUUUAGGCUUGGCAUAUAAUGAACUGAUAGGCUCGAUUCCAAGUUCAAUCUUUGAACUUUUGAAUUUGACUGAGAUCUAUCUUUCCUUUAGCAAUUUCAGUGGCAGCGUUGAGCUUUACGAUUUUGCAAAGCUCAAAAAUCUUAAAGUUCUUUCUCUUUCUAAUAUUAGUUUAUCAGUGAGCACCAAAUUAACAGCCAACUCAUCGUUCCCUAAUCUUUCGGCGUUGGAUUUAUCGGCUUGUAAUAUAAGUGAGUUUCCAGACAACUUGAGAACUCAACAUCAGUUAGAGUUGUUGGACCUUUCUGAAAACCAAAUCGGUGGUAGGAUUCCCAGUUGGAUGUGGGAUAUAGGAGUACAUACUUUGAUUGAACUAGAUCUUUCACGAAACUUCCUGACAAGUAUAGACCAUCUUCCGUGGAAAAAUCUCGAAUAUCUCCACCUUGAUUCGAACUCACUUCAAGGAUCACUUCCAGAUCUACCACCUCACAUGGUAUCCUUUUCAAUUUCCAACAAUAGUUUGACUGGAGAGAUUCCUUCAUCAUUUUGUAAUUUGAGCUCCAUUCAAUAUCUUGACUUAUCCAACAAUAGCUUGAGUGGACAAAUUCCACAGUGUCUUGGAAACUCUACACUUGAGACUUUGGAUCUCCGAAUGAACAACUUCCAAGGUAGCAUCCCACAGACAAAUGCAAAAGGCUGCAAGUUAACUUAUCUUCGGCUGAGUGGCAAUCACUUGGAGGGACCGUUACCACCAUCUUUGACUAACUGUGUCAAAUUGCAAUUUCUUGAUGUUGGGAAUAACAACUUGAGCGGUCAAAUUCCAGAAUGUCUUGGAAACUCAACACUUCAAGUCUUGGAUAUGAGAAUGAACAAUUUUAGUGGCAGCCUCCCACAAACAUUUGCAAAAAGUUGUGUUUUGGUAAGUCUUAACCUUAAUGGCAAUCGGUUGAAAGGACCAUUACCUCCAUCUUUGGUUAAUUGUCAGUAUUUGGAAGUUUUAGAUGUUGGGAAUAAUCAGAUUGAUGACACCUUUCCCUACUGGUUAGACGUUCUUCUUGAGUUGCAAGUUCUUAUAUUGCGUUCUAAUAGAUUUUGGGGUCCUAUUGGUGAUACCAAAACAAGAGUUCCCUUUCCCAAGUUGCGAAUAAUGGAUUGCUCUCACAAUCAACUCACCGGUGUUUUGCCAUUAUGGUAUUUGGAAAGUUUUAAAGCCAUGAUGCAUGGGAAUAACAAUAGUGUUGAAGUCGGUUAUAUGAGGUUGCCGGGUUCUUCUAAUUACUAUGAGUCAAUAUUUCUGACUAUGAAAGGCAUUGACUUACAAAUGGAGAGGAUUCUAACAACUUUUGCAACUAUUGAUUUGUCCAGCAAUAGAUUUCAACGGAAAAUUCCAGAAGUAGUGGGAAAGUUGAAUUCACUCAAAAGUCUCAACAUUUCUCACAACAACCUGACAGGUUGUAUUCCUUCAUCGCUGAGAAAUCUGACAGAGCUUGAAUCUUUCUGGUAACUCGGGUCUGUGUGGAUUCCCAUUAUCAAAAAGCUGCAGCAUUGAUGAGGCACCAGAACCAACAACACCAACAGGAUUUAUCGAAGGAGACGAUGCUUCAAGCUGGUUUGAUUGGAAGCUCGCUAAGUUGGGUUAUGCAUCUGGAGUGGUGAUCGGCUUGUCCAUAGGAUACAUGGCAUUUGUGACUAGAGGGCCACAAUGGUUUGUAAGAAUGAUCGAAAGGAAGCAAUCCAGGAAGCUGAGAAGGGUGAUCAGACGAGGCAGAGCAAGUAGAAGAAGUUUGUAGAUGCAUCUCUAAAGGCCAAGGUGAGUAAUUAUUAAGUGGGUGCAUUGCUCUUCUUGGAGAAAAUGUAUUAAAUGAAAUCCCACACAUUUGCCAAUGGGCUUGUACAACGUUGACGGCACUCAUACUCAUACAUCUGAGGGUUUAAAGUAAUUUUCGUAGAUCUUUUAUUGUAAUAUAUGUAUCUAUAUUUCAAAAGGAAGAAACCACCGUCAUCCAAUUUUAAUUAAGAAAAAUCUGCACUUUUUCAUAUAUCACCUUUUUUUCGUUUUGUAGAAACAAAAAUAAUUAUGCGUAAAAUGAAACCAAACGGCCAUUAAAUUUAGAGGGGUUUUCAUAGCGAUGCUGUUGAGAUUAAAAGUUAAAUCUUGAGACUUAAUCAACCAAACGAAUCAAACUAACUCCCCAAGAACCAAUUAUCAAAAGAUAAAGAAACAAUCAACACACCCAAGACACUAAAGAACUUAGAACAAAGAGGUUAAGAGGAAGAAGAAGAACUAAAAAGAUUACGUGGUUCAAUACCAAUGGUACCUACAUCCACGGCUGAAGAACCCUCUUGGGCUUGAAGCUUUUAUUGAACAGAUCGAUUACACAGAGACAACUGAUGACAAGGAUUAAAUCUCUCUCACAGAGUAUUUUCUAUCUCUCACCCUAAGCCUCUCAAAAUCGUGAAUCAAGUGCUACUGUUGAUUAGCCUUGAGCCAUCUUUUAUAGCUCUAUUUUGUCCAGCUGUUAGUAGUAACAAACUUAAUUAACUCUGGCCCCACCAACGCUGACUCAGCUUGCCACUUAACCUCUUAACAGAAUUAACUAACUUAGCUUCACAGAUGCCAUACCUUAACAGCAGUCCCCACAUACGGCGCGGCCCAUGAUUCCACUUAUAACACGUUCUCAAGAUAAUUGAUUAGGUGUAAAAAGAAAAUGGUUUGAAUAAUUAAAAAAACAUUGGUCCAAAAUCUCUAACCUUUUAUGAUCCUUGUUCAAACGGCCCUGUACGUGCCACGUCAACAUGUGCAAACUCAUCCACGUCACCAGCCUUAGCGCUCUCACCACGUCAUCACUCGAUGAUCAUUUGGAUUAAGAAAAACAGUUGAAUUGGGUCUCGUCAGUCGUCACAGAGGCCGAGCACAAAAGACAAAGAGAAACUGAAAUGGCGCGAGCUUUGCUUUAUUUGAAUCGCACGGCCACGGCCAUAAUAGUUAUGUUGAUUGAUGUGGUUUGACUUUCGUAUGUUAUUAUUUAAAUCCCCUAAUAUGUUAAAAUUUAAAAAACUGUAAAACUUGUUUAAAGUAACAUAAAUAUAAAAAUUACUCUACUCAACAUCUCAACCAUAAAUUAUAUAAAUAACUAAAUAUAAAUACAAAGUUAAAAACCAUGUCUCAUUCCUUUAAAAAACACACAAUUUAAUUCCGCAAUCUAAGCAAAGAGUUCAUCAAUUUAACAAAUAAAAUAAAAACACACAACUCAAUACCACAAUUUAGACCAGGAGUUCAUUAGUUCAUUGGUUUAACAAAGAGUUCAUCAAUUUUUUUUAAAUUGUUAAAUGAGAGAGUUGGGUCACAUAAAACCCAAACCCUGACCCAAAUUUAAUUAAACUUUUAUUUUUUAAGCUUGAGUUCGAUUUUUGACCCUUAAAUUCGGGUCAAAGCCCUAAAAAUUUGAGUCGGGCCAAUCUGGUCAAAAAUCGGGUCGGGCUUUUUUGCCAUCUUUAUCCAAGACAUUGUGGAAUUGGGCUGCUCAAGUUGUUAUUCCUGAAAUUAAUAAACAUCAAACCGAUACAAUUAACUAAAUAUGGUGACAAUGAUCCUUCUAGGUGAUUGUCAUUCAGUGUAAGCAUACAAAUUGCAACCUUUUUGCAUAUGAUUGUGGGAUUCUACCACGAAGAUUGUUCAUUCUAACAUUUAAGUACCCCAUUGUAAAGUUUCCAAGGCACGACUGAAGCUAUUAUUGGACAUAGAGAUGGCCACUCGCCAAUGCGAGUAUGUUUUAGAAGGGCACGUAGCAUGGUGUGCACACAAAUUAACAAACUAGAUAAGGCUGAGAAUUUUAAGUAUGUGGUCCUUUAAAUCAUGUCCUUCUAUAAAUGCAACAAUGGGAAAUAUCAAAUAAUCGUGACUCAAUUAAUUGUAGCAAUAAUGAUGUAGGAGAUGAUAUGAGCUUAAUUUGGGUGUACUUCUUUGGUUAUAUGAGUUGAAUUUGAAUGUGUAAUAUUAUUGUUCUGAAACUCAAUAAGAUAAUUGAUUGGGUGUAAAAAGAAAAUGGAUUGAAAAAUUAAAAUAACUUCUGUCCAAAAUCUCUAACCUUACAUGAUCUUUGUUCAAAUGACCCAGUACGUGCCACGUCUACAUGUGAAAACUCAUCCACGUCAAUAUUCUCACCACGUCAUCACUCAACAGGUUACAGUGACGAUAAUUUGGAUAAGGAAAAUUGUUGAAUUGAGAGCCUUCACUAUUCACAGAGAAACCAAAAAAGCGCGAGCUUUGCUUCACUUGAAUAGCACAGCCACGGCCUUAGUGGCCAGGGCUACAGCCUACAAGUGCUACUACAGAGACAGUUCUUGAUGGAGCUCAGUUUCAAAUGAAGAACCAAAACACCUGUGUUUUGGUACUUGGAGUUAUGGGUCGGGUCGUUGGAUCCACUGCUGUUUCUCUCUACAAACUCUGCCCCAACCUUCAGAUUGUAGUUGGCUCUCGAAACAGGUCAAAUCAUCAAUGCCCUUUUCUUUCUUUUGUUUGGUUUCCGAAAAAAUGCAAGAAAUAAAGGAGGGAAAUUUUUAAAGCUUUGUUAUUUUCUGUUAUUUUUAUGUUUACUAUGUUUCUUUGGUUCUUUUAAAAUUUAAAUUCAAGGUGAUGGCUAAGGGUAAACUACAAUGCUUUUACAUGAUUCCAAAAGCACAUUUCUAAACAGCCACUCAACUACAAGCGAUUGUCAUGUCCUGCAAUUGUAGAUUAAGGCUACAUUUGGUAGUGGUAUUGUGCGGUCGAGGCUUUUUAAGGCACAUCUACUUUUAAAUGAGAGCUACUGUGAAAUCAAAGUUUUAGUUAUAAAAUAAAAGUUUAUAGUGUUUGGUAAUUUGUUUAAAUAGUAAUUUUGAUAAAAAUAGUAAACCUAACAUAGGUUAGGCAAUUGUGGGUAAAUUUGCUUUAAUUGUCAAACUGUGGUUAUAAUAUUUACCAAAUAUUUUAAGGUUGUGAUUAGAUGGAAAUAAGGAAUAUAGCCUAAACAAGCCAUAAUAAAAUUGCCAAUGAUACAAAAAAUUGUAAUUCUCUCUCUUUUUGGUUUUCCUAAGCAUUCGAAAGGCAAUCAUAUUUUUUUUUUUUGUUUUGAUUGAUAUGCUUUGACCACGGUAUGUUAUUAUUUUAGAAUGUUGUCAAACAUGUUAGUUCUUGGAUGGAACUAUAGAGUUGUGAAUUCAAAUAGUGCCACAAUGGUCUUUACACUGAGGAAGAAUUCUGCAUUUGCUGAAGUUAACAUUGACAAUGAAGGCUCAUUAUUAAUGGUUUUAAUGUUGUGUUUACUUUCUGAAGUAGGAGUAAGGAGUGUGGAUUCCUCCCACUCCAAUGUUUACUUCAACAUUUUAAGAUAGGAUGAGGAAUCCCACUCUGUGGGCCCGUGGGAUUCACCCAUUUUUAGAGUGGGGACUCCCAUGGGCAGAGGUGGGAGUGGAAUAACUAUCGUUUGAGCUUUAAUUUGGUCUGGUUAGUGGAGUCUAGGCCGCUGCCACAUCACCAUAUACAAGAGACAACCAACAUUUCUCGUAUCUAUAUAUCGUUUGAGCUUUAAUUUGGAUUGGUUAGUGGAAAUUGAAUAAUCAAAGUCUACUAAAGACGUCAAGAAAGGAAACGAGUAAAAUACAAACAUCGUUUAUCAAUGUUUAUGAUCGUAGCCCAUUUUUUUUUGUCUUAACCACGAGGUAUCCUAAGUAGGGCCCCAACUGUAGGAGGCACAUUUAAGCUCGUACCAUAACUCAGACUAGAAGUUCCCGCUCGAACCGAGAGGCACAUGUUCUCCCAAAAAAGGCGACUUCCCUGCGACUCGAAAAAGGCGACUUCCCUGCGACUGGAGCCAACACUUUGUUGGUAUGCUUGUAGCCCGUUGACAACACUCAUGCUCUCAAAUCUUGAGAGCAAUUAAUUCGUGGGACCCAAUAUUUUCUGUCAAUAUAAUUAGAUAUGGGUAGAUUUUUUCUACUAAUAUAAAUAGAGCAUAUAUCCCUAACAAAUUUACGAAAUUAUCUAUCUAACUUUUAGGAAAUUAUACCAUUUCAGGACCCAAAAUUUCAUUUGAAUUUAAUUUAAAUUACAGCCCUGAGGAAACUUCUAAGAUUUGUACUUUUAUUUUCAUAACAAAAUCUUAAGUUACUUCCGUUUGUUGUGUUUUUAAUUAAUUUCAGUUUACACCUUAAUCUUCUCUGAAUUUAUUUUUUUUUUCAGCUUAGGAGAGCAUAUUAACGCCUACAUAAAAGAAGCUAUAUACCAUUAUAAAUAGAGUAAUAUUAGUACAAAAUUAAUUCAAACUAGAGAAAAAGAUCACAAAUUUAUAAAGCCUUACUGUGGAAUGCUCAACGUUGACUUAGGAAAAGGGUUUAAGAUCUGUAUUGAGUAUUGAUCAAGCAAUUUCAGCAUAGAGAUUACACACAUAUAUAGUAAACAAUUAAGAGUAAAUGGAAGGUCUAGCAUCUAAUUGGAAUUUUACAAAACUAGCGACAAAUGCACCAAUAAACUAGACUCCAGAACAAGAAGUAUAUAAUCCAAUUAGAAAAGAUAAUUAAAAAUAGAUAAAUUGGAAAUAAUUAAUCCAGACAAAACAAUAAAAACACAAGUGAAGACUUGCAAUAUAAGUGAGUUUCCAGACAUCUUGAGAACUCAACAUCAGUUAGAGUGGUUGGACCUUUCUAAAAACCAAAUCCGUGGUAGGAUUCCCAGUUGGAUGUGGGAUAUUGGAGUACAUACUUUGCAAUUUCUAAUUCUUUCACAAAACGUCCUGACAAGCAUAGACCAUCUUCCGUGGAAAAAUCUCCAAUAUCUUACCCUUGAUUCGAACCUACUUCAAGGAUCACUUCCAGAUCUACCACCUCACAUGGUACAGCUUUUAAUUUCCAACAAUAGUUUGACUGGAGAGAUUCCUUCGUCAUUUUGUAAUUUGAGUUCCAUUCAAUAUCUUAACUUAUCCAACAAUAGCUUGAGUGGACAAAUUCCACAGUGUCUUGGAAACUCUACACUUGAAACUUUAGAUCUCGGAAUGAAUAACUUCCAAGGUAGCAUCCCGCAGACAAAUGCAAAAGGCUGCAACUUGACUUCUCUUCGGCUGAGUGGCAAUCACUUGGAGGGACCAUUACCACCAUCUUUGAUUAAUUGUGUCAAUUUGCAAUUUCUUGAUGUUGGGAAUAACAACUUGAGCGGCCCAAUUCCAGAAUGUCUUGGAAACUCAACACGUUUGUCAUUUCUUGAUGUUGGGAAUAACAGCUUGAGCGGCCCAAUUCCGGAAUGUCUUGCAAACUCAACACUUGAAAUCUUAGAUAUGAGAAUGAACAAGUUUAGUGGCAGCCUCCCACAAAACAUUUGCAAAAAGUUGUGUUUUGGUAAGUCUUAACCUUAAUGGCAAUCGGUUGAAAGGACCAUUGCCUCCAUCCUUGGUUAAUUGUCAGUAUUUGGAAGUUUUAGAUGUUGGGAAUAAUCAGAUUGAUGACACCUUUCUCUACUGGUUAGACGUUCUUCUUCAAUUGCAAGUUCUUAUAUUGCGUUCUAAUAGAUUUUGGGGUCCUAUUGGUGAUACCAAAACAAGAGUUCCCUUUCCCAACUAGCAGAACUUGAAGAGAUCAGGAAUGAUGCAUAUGAUAAUGCCAAGAUUUAUAAACAUCGAAUGAAAAUCUUUCAUGACAAACACAUUUUGGGAAAAUCCUUUACACCAAGUCAGAAAGUACUUUUAUAUAAUUCUCGAUUGCAUCUCUUUCCAGGUAAGUUACGCUCUCGAUGGUCUGGUCAUUUUAUAGUUCGUACUGUCUUUCCUUAUGAAACAAUUGAGAUUGAAAAUCCUAAAAAUGGUGAUUUAUUUAAAGUUAAAGAUUAAAACCAUUUUUAGAGCUAAGAACACCAGAAAAUGGGGCAGUUUUUUAUUUAAUUACACUAAAUAUACAAUUGAGUUCACUGUUUUCCAAAAAAUGGGGCAUUUUUUUUAUUUAAUUACAAAAUUAUCCUUAUUGAAACCCAUAUAAGAGUAUUUAUAUUAAUUACUUAUAUUGCUUCUUCAACUAUCAUCAAAUUCUUAUUCAUCAUUUAAGGAAUAAGUGUGCUAUCCAAAUAAUCUCAAAUGAUGUACUAAAUAAAUAUUCUGAGGAACAAGACUCAUUAUGGCUCCUUUCAGUAGUUUGUAGCUUUAGUUUCUUAUUAAUAAAAUUCUCUCGCAUUGAACUAGAAAAAGAAAUUCAGCCCACCCAAAAAAAUGUUAGCGUCGCCGUUGAAAGGAGCUAAAUUACAUAUUGUCUGACUAGAGAAACUCUUAUCAUAUCUGUUAAUAUACUGCUUUUGGAUCCCUUAUUCUGACUUUUUAUCAUUUCCAUGGCAGUGAUGGCAGCAGAGCUUGUUCAUAUUGGUAGAAGUGAAAGCAAAUUAAGGAGAGACAGAAUGACCUAAAUAUAUAUGUCCACUAUGUUUAAUAUGGUGGAGUCCUGGAUCAGUCGCUUUGCUGAAAUGAUUUCAAGUAAUAGCCCACUGUGAUUGGCAAUUUUCUCUUAUUUAGGUUUGGGUGAAAGUGAACCCCAUCCACACAAAGUAAUUUACAGGAAGUGGUAAGGUGAAAAGAUCAGCCUAAUUCAUUGCCUAGGGAUGUUACAAUCAUUUUUUAUUACUAAAUAUUUUUAAAUUAGGAUCAUGUAUUAAUGGAAUAAAAAUUUUCAUAAUCUAACAAUUGAUCUACAAAAACCAGAAUCCUAAUUAAAUUCAAAUAAUAAUUAUAAUCAACCUCUAUAGGAAAAGGGAAAACGAGAAUCAUAUGCAAGGAAAAUCAUUUCAUGAUGGAGAAAAACAUCACUGAUAGAUGCCCCAGAUCAAAUCCCGAGUCAAGCCCCGAAGCUUUCGUAAAACGACGGUGUUUUGUAAUUUUUUUUUUGUUUCAAUUUUCCGUAAAAUGAUGUCGUUUUGCUCAAGCAUUACAGCUCCGUACCAAACUCAUCUUUCUCUUUCAUUUUUUGUUUCACCACAGAACCCAACUACAUAACCCCAACUGCAGAACCCCUCAAGUUGUUAUCUUCCUUCUGCAGAACCGAUCUUUCUCUUUCAAUUUUGUUAUGCCAAAACUAUAGGAAGAAAUAUAACAUACCUACAGAAUUAAAUAAAUAAUUGAACAAGGGAGGCUGGCAGAUUUAGUUAAAACGUAAUGUCCAAAGUGACGAUUCCACAUAUGGAAAACCUUCCCAAAGGAUUGCCAGUUCCAUCCCAUUAUAAUUUGUUUGAAAACAAUGAUUACAUAGUUGAAAACAAAUUUAGUUUUUAUAUAAUAUGUUGAGUGGAAAUUUUCAAUUUGUUACUUACAAUUACUAAUCUCUGUCAUCGGUGGCAGUGUUAAUGGUAGUGGCGGUGGCUGGCUAUCAGUGAUGGCAGUCCUAGUGGCUACAUAUGCGUGGAUUCUGGAUUUUGGAUGGUGGAUUGUGGACUUUGAAUGCAUGUGCUGUAGUUGAUCGAUAAAGGAAAGGGGCGUGGAAAAAUGAUGCGUAAAUCAAAACGGUGCGUUUUAUUUUCAGGGUUUGACCCGAUGUAAAUAUCAUUUUCUAGAGAAAAAUUUACCUUAAUUAUUGGUAUGUUCUCUUGAGGAAUUUUGGUCUCUUGCUACCGAAACUUAUUUUUGCUUAAUUUAUUUCCAUAGCUUAUUUUUGGUCACUUUUGGUCUCUUGAAAUGAUAUUAUAUUGUUGCAGGAAAAGAUGCGAGGGUAACUUUGAUUUGGUCGAUCUUGGGCGACGUACGUACUUUGGAUUUGAGCGUGGAUCAAUUUAUCAUUUUAAAACUUGUGAUGAGAAUAACAACACUUAUUCAACAGAAUUUUUCUAAAUUCUUCUGUUUCAGGACUGAAAAUUUCAUUUGAAGUUAUUUUCCAGUACUUUAGGGAACUCAUGUAUUAUUUCUUCUUCUUCAUCUUUUUUUUUCCCUUUGUGUUUUUAAUCCUUUACUUUCUUGUAUUUUACCAUUAAAUUCUUGAAUAUUUGUUCAUGGGUUAGAAUUUCGCUAAUUAGUAGUAUAAAAAGAUGUAAACACAUGGUUAAAUUAUUUUUUAUUAAAAAAAUUGAGAUUCAUAUGAGGUUAGAAAAAUGGAAUUACAUUUUUUAAGAGAUUGGUGUUAUGGGUUAAUAAUAUUAAAAUAACAAUAUUUUAGUCAAAGGCCAUGUGAAAAUCUAAUAUCUUCAUUUUAGCAGUGGGUUUAUUAAAAAAUUGGGCUUAUUGAAUAAAAUGAUGAGUUCAAAAAGCCCCACACAAUUAAGUGUUAGCUAAUUUGAUGAAUCCAUUUUAAAAAAUUUGACUAACUAGUUUAUAUGAUUUAUAUUAAAAUAAUAAAUCUAGGAACCAACAUUUGGAUUUCAAUUUAUAUUUAAUUAUCUGUAUUUUCUUUUUAUUUAUUUGAUAAUAAAUUUCAUAAUCAUUGUUUGUAUAAUUUUUUAUUUCAGUUUUACCAUUUUGUAAUAUAUAUGAAUGGCACAUUAAUUAGGAUUAGAUAGAUAUUGUUAUUCUUGUUAAAAAUGAGAAUGGGUUUAGAGAAUUUAUUCAUUUCGAAAAUAAAAAAGAAAAUGGAUUUGAGAAUAAUUGAAAUAACGCAGAUCCAAAACCUCUGUCCUUUGACCGACGGAUUCUGUAUGAAUUUUAGUUGAAACAAAACUAGGCCCAUAAUUAUAAAGCCCAGUGGUAUACACGUCAUAAACAAAAGCUCAGAACAGAGCCCAUUUAGGUGCAGCCAUUGCUCGGAGUUUUUUGUUUUAAUAUGCCGCAAAAGUAUAUCCGCUCCCUUCCAUUUAUUCAGUAUUCACUUAUACAACAAAUUCACCAGCAUAAAGAUUGAGGUCCUCUCAUUUGUGAAUUACAUGUUACCCAACUUUUAUAUCAACCCCAAAACUUUCCUCUCACUUUCUCAACGUUAAGGUUUUAUUUUUACCUUACGGGUAAUAAAGUGAAGGUGAUUACGUAGAUUUAGACUAUUGCCAAUAGUUAUUUUGGUUCCUUAAUUAAAAAAUUAUGUUUUUAAUUGUCAUAGUUCGUAAAAAAAUUAUUCAUCAAUUAUGGUCGGGUAAGGGUUGUGUAGUGAAAAUUUACCUGACCACAGUCGUGCACAAAUCAAGUAAUAGUCAAGUUGUUGAAAAAUUAUUCGGCUAUAGUCACGCACAUGCAAUUCGGUUAAUCGUGGAAUAAUUGGAACAGUCACUUACAAGUCGGGCAAUAGUCAAGUAGGCCAAGAGUAAUUGAGUAUGAAUACAAUUGUCAUAAGAACAAGGUAAAAGGUUGUGCCAUUUUUAGAUAAAGGUUGAGUAAUUAAUAAUUACAGGUUGAGAAAUUAUUAGCCAUGUAUGUGUAAUGGUUGGGUAAAAAAUGGAAAAUAAAUGUACUCUUUAAGGAUAUUUACGACUUUUCUUUAAGGAAUUGUCAUAUUAAUGGAAUUACUGAGUACGGUGUCAUAUUUGUAGAAUUAAGCCACUUUCAUGGCAUAAACGGUGCAAUUUCUUCACAUUGCUCAGCUCUCUCAAAGUGAGCUCUGCCCCAAAGCUUCAAAAUUAUAGUUGGCUCUCGAAAUCAGGUGAAAACAUUAAAACUUUCUUUCUUCCGUUUGUUUUAUGAAAAAAUGCAAUAAAAGCUUUCAAAGUAGUUCAAUUAUGUGUUUUCCUUUUGUUAAUUUUGUGUUAUGUGGACGAACUAGGAAUACAUGUGCAUUGCUCGAUUUGAAACUGCAUUAUUAUCUACCGAUUUUAUAUUCUAGUGGCCAGAUUAUUUUAAAACAUGUAGUUUACUUAUAAUUUUUAAUUAACAUGCAGUAAUAAUAUUGAAAUUCCAAUUUAUUUUGGACACAGCUUCUUCUAGAUAGCAUGCUUAAAAAUUUAACGUGGAAUUAUAUUGGACACAGCUUCUGCUGUUACCGUUUGAACUGGAUUUGUGGAAAAUUAUCAUUUUGACUCUGCUUACUUAUAACAACAGUGCGAGUAGAAGUGAUGGAAAAAGCUUUUCUUCCUUGUAAGUUCUCAUUAAUGAUUUUCAUUAAAAAAUAAUUAUAUAUUAUUUAGUUGUGUUGUUCUUUAACUAUCCUUAAAUUCUUGUCCGAAUUCAUCAUUAAAGGAGUGAAUAUGUUGUUUGAGUAAUUAUUAAAUAAAUAUUUUGUGGCACAAAGCUCAUUUUGUCUCUUCUUAUUAGUUGUAUCUUUGAUGUCUUAUUAAUAAAGUUCUCUUGCAUUGAAUUAGGAAAAAAAAAAAAAAAAGAUCCUGACUAAACAGAAUCUCGUUUUCAGGAAUUUUUUUACCCAGUGGAUCCUAAUAGUACAAACUGCCAGUACUGCUCAAUUUAUAAUACUGUCAAAUUGUCAUCAAAGAAACGGGCUGUAGUUAUAUAAAAAUUUUCAAAAUGAUAAUUGCACACAGCUUCUUGUAGAUGGUGUGCACGAUAAACACGUCUGCUUUUAGGCAGGUUCGUGGAAACACUGGAAUAGAUUUUUAAUUGGAACUGGAAAUCUAACUUUUCCACUUUUUUGACCUUUCCCAUGAGUUUCACGGGUGUUGAAAAAGUAAGAAGUAUUAGUUUGAAAUUUUACAAACUGCUGGAAAACAACACACCAAAUUCCACAACUAGAUUGUAAGGGCACGGUAAUAAGACUUGUUGUAUAAGUAUUUUUAUCUGAUACAUAGAAGAAUGAUCCUCGAAUAUGAGGGCGCACAUAUAAUAAUGCACCUUUUGAAGAAUGCAGUCUUCUUUAGGCCAAAAGGAAAGGGAAUGAGUAAAAGAUAAUAGCCAGCUAGAUGUCUGCUCUGGACUUGGAAUUGCAACUCUUCACUUUUUGAUCCUUCCCACGAGUUUCAUGGCUGUGGAAAAUGUGCAAGUACUUGUUUGAAAUUUUACAAAUUGUUCAAAAAACGGCUGUCCAAUUUAUUCCAAAACUAGAUUAUAAGGCUAAGCAAUAAGACUUGGUGCUCAGAUUCUAAAAGUAUUACAAAGACUUGGUACCUUAAAUUCACAUUAUACUUGAAUAGCCAUAUCUGUUCUUGUGAUUUCCUCAAGGAAAAAAGAUAAUAUGGAUCAUUUUAACUCAGCCUUUUCAACUUUUGAUUUAGACACUGCUAGCUUCUUCUAGAUAAUUAAACAUGGAGUUGGAGACAUCUUCUGCUGUUUCCUUUUGGAAUGGGUUGUGGAACCAAAGUUAACCUGACUCCGUAACAAGAUAAGCACUCAAUAUAGUUUGGAAUUUUACAAAACUGGCGACAAAUGCACCAAUUAACCUGACUCCGUAACAAGAUUAUGAGCUAGUCUUACUAACUUGUUGUAGUAAACUAAUUAUCAAGAAGUAAAUGGAAGGCCUAACAACUUUUUCAACAAACUGAAACAGAAUUAAAGCAGAGGAGGGGAAAUCAAUUGUGCUUUGUGCAUAAUGUAUAUGACUAACUAACGACGAGUUUAGCUGGCUGCCACAUCAGCAUAUAUAACACAUAACUAAUAUCUCUCUAAACUAUAUUUUCGCAUACAUAAAUAAAUAUCAAAAUGGUAAUUAAUUGGAUACAGCUUCAGCUUUUGGACUGGUUUGUGAAAAUCGGAAAAAUUUUAAACAGCUCAUCUUGAACAAUAUAAAAUCUACUUUAUACGUGAACAAAGGAGAUGGUCCGUAAAGAUAAUCCAUCAAUGAUUAAUUACUUUAAAGCUUGUUAGAUUACUUUCAGGAAGAAAGAAUUCAUUGCCUCUAAGACUUCAUUUGAAAAACUCAAUUUCCAUUUGCAAAAGAGUGCAUUGCUCUUUUUGGUGAAAAAUAGUUUAACGGAAAUCCCCUUCAUCCAAUUUUUUUUUUUCUUUUCUUUUUAAGAAAUUAGCACUUUGUCAUAUAUGCUUAACAUUUUUAAUUCUGUGUAAACAAAAAUAAUUAAUUUUGUGUAAAACCAAACCAAACGGCCAUUAAAUUUAAAUAAGUUUUCAUGCCAUUGCCAAUCAUAAGAUCAGUCUCAAGGGUAAGGGCCACCAUUCCCCGUCGAGCAUGUCGUCAACAUACCCCUCUUCAAAGGAUUCCAGAUAAAUAUUAAUCAGAUGAAUCAACUUGCUAAAUUCCAAAGCAAGACUUGGUGCUGUAAGUCAAUAAAUAUUAUAUUAUUAAUUAAUUACACACCAUAUUCAACUUCUAUAAUUAGUCAUUAUAUCUCUCUCUCUUCUUGUGAUUUCAUCAUCCAGAAACGAAAAAGAAAAUGGGUUAUAUCACUCAGCCUUAUCAACUUUUUAUUUGCCUCCAGUUAUUGCUCUUGUAUUCUCAGUGUUCAGCAAUACUUUGCUCUCAUGACCAAAGUUCUGCUUUACUCCAAUUUAAGCAGCUCUUUUCCUUUGAAAACCAUUCUUCGUGGUUUUGUGAUGGACGUCAACAAUCUCGUCCAAAGAUGAUGUCUUGGAAAGAGGACGCUGAUUGCUGCUCCUGAGAUGGAGUAACAUGUGAUUCGGCGACGGGUCACGUGAUUGGCCUCGACCUCAGUUGCAGUUGGCUUCACGGCAACAUCCCUUCCAACAGUAGCCGUUUCUUUCUUUCUCGCCUGCGAAAGCUCAACCUGGCUUACAAUGAUUUCAAUUACUCUAAGAUUUCUUCUGGUUUUACUCAAUUUCCAAACAUGACACUCCGUAACCUCUCUUCCAGCUAUUUCAUGGGGUCAAUUCCUGC